CAAGGCAAAGGUCUUGGAAACCAAUAUUUUCAAGAUCUAGUGUCAAGGUCAUUUUUUCAAAUAUCUAGUAAAGACAAAUCCCGUUUCGUGAUGCAUGAUCUUAUGAAUGAUUUAGCUCAAUCAGUUGCAGGAGAAUUAUGCUGCAGAGUGGAGGGUGAAAAGCAACAAAAGUUUUUGCAUCGUUCUCGCCACUCAGCUUAUGUUAUCGAUGAUCGGUAUCAGAGUGUAAAGAUGUUUGAGGAAUUUUAUCAAAUGACUUCUUUACGUACUUUCUUACACUUAAUGGCUCCAAGAAAUAAGGUAUUCUAUUUAUCUAACGCUGUCUUGGAUGAUUUAUUGCCAAGACUUAGCUACUUAAGGGUUCUUUCUUUGGGUGGGUAUGAGAUCUAUGAUUUGCCCGACUUUUUUGAAAAUUUAAAACAUCUACGCUACUUAAAUUUUUCUAGAACCCGAAUCAAUCGUUUACCUGAUUCUUUGUGUACUCUUUAUCAUUUGGAGACUUUAAUCUUAAGAGAUUGUUCAAAGCUCAAAAAUUUACCCUCGAAGAUCGGAAACCUUGUCAACUUGCAUUUUCUUGAUAUUAGAGGUGCGGAUUCAAUAGAAAGGAUGCCCUCUGGAUUUGAUCAGCUAACUCAGCUUCAAACGUUAUCUAAUUUUGUUAUAGGGGAAGGUGAUGGACGUCUUAUAAGAGAAUUGAAAAAUUUGUCAAACCUUAGAGGUAAUUUUUGUCUUUCUGGAUUGGAGAAUGUUAAUGGUCAAGAUGCGAGGGAAGCUAAGUUAAAUGAGAAGCUAGGGAUUGAUGGGUUAGAACUGCAAUGGGGUACAGACUUAGAGGAAACAGAAGUUGAGCGGGUGUUGGACUUUCUUCAUCCUCCGAAAAAGCUUGAGCAACUCAUCAUUGAGAAUUACGGGGGUGUAAAAUUCUCAUCUUGGAUAGCAGAUUCUUCCCUCAAGAAUUUGUCGUCUUUGAAGCUUCGCGAUUGUAAAAACUGCAAGUCACUACCAUCAGUUGGAAGGUUGCCAUUGUUAAAAGAUCUUUCAAUUAUUGGUUUCGAUCAAGUACAGAAGAUUGGUGUUGAGCUAUUCGGAGAAAAUCAAUUGAAUCCAUUUGCAUCAUUAGAGAUUCUGUCUUUUGAGAGUCUUCCAAACUGGAAGGAGUGGGACACUUGUGAAGGAGACGAUAAGGUUUUAAAUCUCCCCAGCCUUCGUGUGCUUUCAAUCAAAACCUGUCCUAAAUUGUUGGGAAGGUUGCCUACCCAUCUUCCUUCCUUGCAAAAACUUGAAAUUCAUACGUGUACGAGUUUGGUAGUUUCAUUAUCAAGUUUCCUGUCACUGUGUGAAUUAAGUAUACGAGGGUGUGCAGAACUGGUGGAUGAUUGCUCUUCUCCUGCAAAGGAGCUUUCCUCUUUGCAAACUUUGUCUCUUUCUAACAUUUCAAAGUUUAAUAUUCCAGCAGAUAGGACAAUGUUGAGGUUUGGAAACUCAGAACGUUUUGAAAUUGAUGGUUGGGAGGAGUUGGCAUCUGUAUCACGGUAUGGGUUUAGUUUAGUUGGACAUCGUUUCAUUUCCGUUUCGCGUUGUCCUCAACUGCAGUCUUUGGAAGCAGAGGAAGCCGAAUUGCAACCUGACAAGAUGUCACGUGUUGAAUCUCUAGAGAUAGCCUCUUGUGAUAGGCUCAAUAGACUGCCACAAGUCUUACAUGCACUCACAUUCCUUACAAUGAUGGAAAUUCAGGGUUGUCGAGGCUUGGUUUCUUUUGCAGAGAAUAACUUACCUCCUAAUUAAAAAAAGCUGAGAAUUAGCAACUGUGAGAAUUUGGAGUAUUUGGUUGAUGAAAAAGAAGAUAAUAAGAGUAUGAGUAGUACCCUCUGUCUUCUUGAGGAGUUGUCUAUCUAUAAGUGUCCGUCUCUAAUGUCUUUGUCAUCGAAGGGGCACAAAAAUAUUUGCAAUCAGCUUCAACUUCUCAAUAUUCGCCAUUGCUCAAAGUUGAGUUGCCUAUUUUCAAACACCAAGUUUCCCAUAACGCUUAAAGAUUUGAGAAUUGUGGGAUGUCCAGAGUUGGAAUACAUAGCCGAGGAGUUUGAGGAAAGCGCUUGUCUUGAAUUUAUGAAAAUUAUAGUUUCUGGAAUAAAAUCUCUACCACGAGGACUAAACAAGCUCAAACAUCUCCAGGAGAUUUGUUUGGAUUCGUGUUCAAAUUUGGUUUCUUUUGAAGAAAGUGGGUUGAGCACCAGCUUCAGAGCUUUCCAAGUUACUGGUUGUGUAAAUUUUGGAGCCCUUCCUAACUGCAUUGCUAGCAGCACCUCCCUUCGACGAUUAAGUGUGAGCAACUAUUCGGCUGGCAUAUCAUUUCCAUCGGAGGGAUUCCCUGCCAAUCUCACAUCACUUGAAAUCUCAAAAGCACCCAAGAUUUAUAGGUCACUUGUGGAAUGGGGAUUAAAUAGACUCACCUCUCUUCAAACAUUGGCCAUCGGAGGUGGAGGAUGCUCAAACGUGGUGUCGUUCCCAGAAGAAGGCACUGGAAUGAAGCUGCCUCCUUCUCUCACCUGUAUCUAUCUUUUCCAAUUUGAGAACCUGGAAUUCAUGUUCUCCGAGGGCUUUCAAGACCUCGCCUCUCUUAAAGUAUUGGAGAUCUUUCAGUGUCCCAAGCUAACAUCUCUUCCGGAAAAAGACAUGCUUCGUUCGCUUGGAUUUUUAAGUAUUUUCGGUUGUCCGUUGCUGCAAGAAGAGUGCUCAAGCUAUAAAGGACGAGAGUGGUCUAAGAUUUCCCAUAUAUCCCUAGUUCAAAUCGAUCUUAAAGCAGUCAUCCCGAGGGAAUCAGAUUGAAGGAUGAGCCGCAAAAUCUGUGAUUGGUUUUUUCAGAGUGAUGGGAGAGGUACAAAAAACCAUUUCAAACAAGUCUAACUUUCCUUAGGAACAAGAUAAGAAUAGGAAUCAAUAUAAAUUUAUUGAUUGAUAUUUGCAGGGAUUGAAAGCUAAGUUGGGGUGGAAUAGUGUUUCAGUGGUUUCAUAUGUUUGUAAACUUGUUUCUUGGCUUUGGGGUUUAAUGUUGGAGUAGCAUUAGUUCAUCGGUGUUUCUAGAAUGUGAGCUUUGUCUAUUGUUUAUUUUAUAGGAUAUAAUAGGGAAGAAUAAGAUGAACAAUUUUACAUUAAACUUCAAUCUUAUAACAUUUUCCUUCUUUUCAAUAUAUCUUUACUUAUCUUCUAUUUUGGAAAUUUUGACAAAAAGUCAGAAAGAAAAUUAGGGAGUUCGGCCACAAUUUUUCAAAUUUAUGGAAAUAUGUUAGAUUUUAGAGAUAGAAAUUGAAAAAGCACUUUCUACAAAAUUCAUUUUCUUUUUACAAAUUAGUAUUUUUUAUAAUAUAUUUAUUAAUUAAAAAAUUUUAAACAACAUGAAAUAAAAAAAAUAUAAAUAUAAGUAGGAGAGAAAUUGAACAUUUGACCAUUUGACUAAAAAAAACUAAUAUGCCGAAAGAAUACACAUUUUGUUACAAAAUGUUUUUCUUAAGAUGCAUUUUCUGUUUCUUUUUCCAAAAUAUAUCAAUUUCUCCAAAUUUAGGAAAUAUCGACCUAAUUCCCUAACUUCUUUUUUUUAUUUCAACAUUUUUAUCCAAUUUUCUCCUAUUUUUCUAUUUCACUUUCUUGUUUUUUUCUUUCCUAUUUCAAUUUUGUUUCUUUCUUUUCUUCCUAUUCUUUUCCUCUCUUUCCCAACCUUAGCCGUCGCUAGCAUGCACUACAGCCGCACUACGACAUUUGUUCUUCUGUACAAAUAAUGGCAUUGAUCAACUCUUUUCCUCAUUCUCUUUCAUUUCCAAAUAAUGGCUUUGGGGUUCUCCUCCGUCGAUCACCUAGCUCUUUUGUCAUCACUGCUUGUUCGAUGUUGUCACUAAUCAGAGAAGCCACCAAAUGGUCCACAUUUCCUUUCUCUCUCCCGCUUCUUUUCUACUUUUUUAUUUUUAUUUUUUAAGCCGUGGACCGCGUUUCACUAUCAUUGCUCUCCGUUGUCGAAUCGAGCCACCACUAUAAAUGGCCUUGCUUCUAGUCAACAUGCACUGCUGCUCAGCCUUUUGUUUCUUACCCUUUUUUUUACUGUCGCCUCUCCUGUCUAACUGAUAACUUUAGCACUUCCAGAUUGGUAAUUCAUGCAAAAUUUAAGUGUUUGAUAAUAAAUUUUGAGAUUUUUAUCACAACUUUGUCUUGUUGAAUGAUACUAAGAUAAAUUUGAUCAUUUGAUCAUUUUAUAUACUAAAACACAUGAUUGAAAUUUUUGAGACAGUUGAUGUACUAGAAGAAAAGCCAGUCAUGAAGCUCACCCUUUUGGUCCUCAAUGCUGUAGCAUUUCUACUACAUAAGCCAUGUAAUAGACUGCCACAAGUCUUACAUGAGCUCAUAUUUCUUACAGUGAUAGAAAUUGGUAAUUGUCGAGGCUUGGUUUCUUUUGCAGAGAAUAACUUACCUCCUAAUUUAAAAAAGCUGAGAAUUAGAAAAUGUGAGAAUUUGGAGUAUUUGGUUGAUGAAAAAGAAGAUAAUAAGAGUACGAGUAGUACCCUCUGUCUUCUUGAGGAGUUGUCUAUCUAUAAGUGUCCGUCUCUAAUGUCUUUGUCAUCGAAGGGGCACAAAAAUAUUUGCAAUCAGCUUCAACUUCUCCAAAUUACCGAAUGCUCAAAGCUCAGUUACCUAUUUUGAAACACCAAGUUUUCCCAUAACACUUAAACAUUUGAUAAUUGGGGAAUGUCCAGAGUUGGAAUACAUAGCCCAAGAGUUUGAGGAAACCGCUUGUCUUGAAUCUAUUCUACUUUUCAGAUCUGGAAUUAAAUCUCUACCACGAGGACUAGGCAAGCUCAAACAUCUCCAGGAGAUUUGGUUGCUUUCGUGUUCAAAUUUUGUUUCUUUUGAAGAAAGUGGGUUGCUCACCACCAGCUUCAGAGCUUUUGUAGUUGAUAAUUGUGGAACUUUUGGAGCCCUUCCUAAGUGCAUGGCCAGCACCACCUCCCUUCAACGAUUAAGUGUGCGCAACUGUUCGGCUGACAUAUCAUUUCCAUCAGAGGGAUUCCCUGCCAAUCUCACAUCACUUACAAUCUCAAAGGCACCUAAGAUUUAUAGGUCACUUGUGGAAUGGGAAUUAAAUAGACUCACCUCUCUUCAAGAAUUGGUCAUCAGAGGUGUAGGAUGCUCAAACGUGGUGUCGUUCCCAGAAAAAGGGACUGGAAUGAUGCUACCUCCUCUCACCCAUAUCAUCCUUUUAGAAUUUGAGAAUCUGGAGUACAUGUUAUCCAAGGGCUUUCAAGACCUCGCCUCUCUUAAAGAAUUGGACAUCGGUGAAUGUCCCAAGCUAACAUCUCUUCCGGAUAAAGACGUGCUUCUCUCGCUUGGAUAUUUACAUAUUUACAGUUGUCCGUUGCUGAAAGAAGAGUGCUUCAGUGAUAAAGGGCGAGAGUGGUCUAAGAUUUCCCUCAUAUCCCUUGUUGAAAUUGAUGGUAAAAUAGUCAUCCCGAGGGAAUCAAACUGAAAGGGCGAUCAUAUAGCACACAAAGAAUCCUUUUCACCAACGUUAGUUUAUGGAACACGACAAGCAAUUGAUUGGGGGAUUUGUUCAAAAUCGUUCUAGAUCCAAUCAUAGAAACAAAAAGGAUGAUACAAACCAUUCGACUGGUAAAAUCGAACGAGAUCCGAAAAUUAUGAGCUCACAUGAUCUGGUAAGCGCUUGAGGUCCAUCUCGACUUGGUGAAUAGUCCAUUGCAUAUUUUCUAGUUUCUGUUAUGUAAACCGGCGGCGUUAAUGUUUUGUUCAAAAGGAAACUUGAGUGAAACACCAGUUAAUUUUGAAGCUGAUGUUACCUUAACAACAUCAUGGUACUGCCUUGCAAUUGUAUCGAAGUGAGGAUCGACACCUUGAUACUCACGUAGGCGUGUUACCUGUUUAAAAGGGUUGUAACACGAAUUGAUAUCAAGACAGACAAGAAAGAAGAAAAACCCGAAUCAGAAACAACCCUGAGUUACGAAAAUAUGCAUAAUUUUGAAUGAAAAACCAAGUAUAUUCUAAUCAAACAUUAGGCUACCAAACCAGGUAAAGAAGAUUUAACAUACAGCUUUAUUAUAUGCAGCAGAGGCUUCUUCAAAUCUUACAUAUUGAUGUUGAUGUUGCAACUUCAAAUCUUUGACGAGCUUAAUGAGCACUCCAAGUAUUUGCUCUAGGACCUGUUAAGAGAGAUUGUUUUACAUCACGUGUCGUGAAAAAUAUAGAGCAAACCCGUUCUCAAAACACUAUGUGAUCCAUGAAAAACUCCUGUUAAGAGAACUCAGUCUCAUAUGGAUUUCUAUUAACCUACAUUAUAAUAUUCUGCAAAUUUCCUAUCUGCGGAAUAAAGAUCCUUCCGCAAAUUUGCUUCUUCCCUCUCAAUCUCCUCUAUUAUCAACUUAACCCUGGUAAAAGAAAUAUCACAAACAGGUAAUCAACAUCCAGCAUAUAAGCCAACCCCAUCAAAAAGGUGGAGAAAGUAACUAAUACCUUUCUGGAAGCCGAGAGCUUGAACUUUGACUUCCAGAAGAUGAGUCUGCAGCACAAAAAGAAUAGUACCCAUAAGGGACCACAAUUCCAAGAAGCAAAUAUGCUUCAUAUAUUUGCUCUCACAUUCUAAUUUCGUCAUGUAAUCUACGCCUUUUGCAAUAAAAUGAUGGGCAACAAGAUCUAUGGAUUGAUAUCACAAACCAAUGAGGAAUUUUGGGACAGAACAUUAUGAAGGAUGCAUUGUUUCCGACAACAUGUUAAAACAAUGGGGAUAUAUAAACUAUUAGGCAUGUUGAGAAGUGAAAAAGGAUAAAGAUAUAUGAACGUACCGAUAUCAUCAACAAAGGCAUCAGCUAACUUGUUACACUUAGAUUUCAACCGAGCAUCAAUCUCCCUUGAAAGAGUUAACUGAUAGUCAGCCAUAUCCUAAAUUUGCAAAUUAACAAAAAUUAUAGAAAUGUGUCAUGAUCUUGUAAGAAAGUUUAUGACAACUAAAACAAGGGCCUCUUUUGUAAUUAAAGAUCUUAAAACUUCCAUCUGCAAUCAUGAAACAAAGUUUUCAUACCAUUGACAAUGGUACUCGUUGAAGCUGAGUUUGCCACAAAUAAGCAGGUGUUAUUCCAAGAAAACGAUUAGGCACACCACCAACACCAGGUUCUCCUGAAUCAACAGUAUUAUUUGCAGCUGCACCACUGGUUGCGGCACUAUUUGCAUAAUUCAAUGAGUUUGAACUUGAGCUGAUAGUGAGACUGGUACUAGUACUAUCAAGCGAACUCCGUGAUAUAAUACUCCAUUUCUCAAUUUCUUCCUCAUGAAUUUCCCCAUCUUUAGAUAUUAGUGGAAGUCUCAAUCUUUGAGCCGCUUCUGCAACAACUAAUCGAUGCUCUAGAGAGUCUCAUAAACCUAAAGUUCAUAACACUGAGUAGAACCCUUGUCAGAUUCCCAACUAUAAAGACUGUUUUCUUAUCACUUUUGCUGCUUAUUUUUCAUAAAACUCUUUUUCUUUACUUCGUCUUAACAAUUGUAUAAAGAAGUUGCAAACUCUGUUAUUCCUUACUCAAGUGUGAGGGUUGGAAACAGGUAAUAAUUGCACUUUCCUUAUAAAAUAAAAAUUAAAAUUGAAAAUCAUACCUUUUUAACCAUUUUAGGUUUGUAAUAUCUAACCUUUCAAGAAAAUAUUAAUUGCACUUUCUUUUUUGUUCCAAAAGAAAUUCAUAUAUCUAAUGUCCAAAAAGUUUCUCCUUUAACCGCAAACAUUCAAAAAGAAAAUUUAGAAAAUAAAAAUUAAUGAAAUUAAUAUGAAACCUGAGGAGAAUUCUUCAAUCCAAGCUGCGGAUAAAAACCUUGAAUAUCUCGAAUCCCUCCAAGAUUCGCCACGGAAAUUGCUUGCUGAUACUCUUCCACCAUAGCCAUUGCUUUUGUAGUGACCUAAAAUUUGAGCGAAUACCUUUGCCAUUGUUUUAAUUCUUAACAAAUACGAAUUCAAUUUAAUAUUUACUCGUGAUCCGAUUGAAACAUGAGAAAUUUUUUUAAAAACACGAGAAUUUUGAAGCACGAAUUUUUUUAAAAACGAAAGUUUUUAAAACACGAUAAUUUUUUAAAAUACGAAAAUUUUAGAAAUACGAAAAUUUUUGAAACACGACAAUUUUUCAAAAGAUAAUUUUUUUUUAAAAUACGAAAAUUUGUGAAACACGAGAAUUGUUGAAAACACAAAAAUUUUUAAAAACACGACAAUUUUGAAAACAUGAAAAUUUUUGAAACACGGAAAUCUUUAGAAACAAGAAAUUUUUUUAAAACACGACAAUUUUUGGAACACGAGAUUUUUUUUUGAAUAUUUACAAUUUUUAAAAGGGCGUAUCGUGUUUAACAUAAACCGGUGAUGUCCACCCAACAUAGCGAUGAAUUUAACGAUUUAAUGUUAAAUCAAUUCGUUACCUUAUUUAUUAAAAUUAUUUAAAAUAAAAUUACAUUAAAUUAAAUUAAAAAAAUAAAUACAAAAAUAUAAAAAUACCAAUAAUAUUAAAGCGAAAUGUUACCCAAAAUACAUGCAUUAAAUUAAAAGCGGAAUAAAACGAAAUUAGCGAAAAAUAUCCAAAAACGCGAUUUUCGCCGAACGAGUUACGCAAAUUGAACCCCCUUUUUUUCCUCUCUUUUUCUUUUUUUUCUUUUUUUUCUGGACUGGGCUGGGCAGGUUGUUGGGCCUGCUGCUGGAACGGGCCCAGGGGCCUGCUAGGCCUGCUGUUGGGCCUGGCACUGGGUUGGCCUGCUUGAAGUGCUGUUGGGCCAGCACUUGGGCUGUUAUGGCCUGCUGGGCUUGCUAAUAAGUGGCCAGCUUCCUUUUUUUGCUUUUAUCUCUUUUUUUGGGCUGCUCUUUGGGCCGCUGGGCUGCUACUGUGGCCUGCUAAGCUGCUGAUGCUGUCGGGUCGGGUAACAGGUCAGAUGGGUCGAGUCGAGCCGGGUCGGCCAGACUAUUAAAAAAAAUAUUUUCUUUUUUCUUUUUCUUUUUCUUUUUCUUUUCCUCCUUUCUUCUUCCUCCUUUCUUCUUUCUUUCUUCUUUCUUUUUUCUUCUUUCUUUCUUCUUUGUUCAGCUCCCGAUGACGCUCCCCCCAGCCUGCUGCGGUGGUCGAUGGCGGCGCACGAUGAAGCUCUCCUCUUCUCCUCCUCUUUUCUGAAAAAAAGCUCUCUAUUUUCUUUAUUUUUUCUUGGAUUUUUUUCAUGUAGGGGUCCAAUUUUUGGAGUUUAAACCCCUUUUUAUAGUUGGUUUUGCUUCUUUUUUUGCAGGUAGCAGGUGGGGAAGGCCAUGCCCUAGGCCGGCGGCCGGAAAUUGUGGGGCAGGUGCAGGAAAUCCUCCGAAUUAUUGGGGAUUUUCUGACAGAAGGACCAAAGUGUAAAACAUGUAAAACUUCUGGGAUGAAAUGUAAUUUUGAAAAAAAUUUAGGGUCAAAAUUUAAUUUUAAGAACGUUUAGGGGUCAAAAUGAAAUUUCAAAAAAUUUUAAGGAUCACAAUGAAAUUUUAAAAAGUUUAGGCGUCAAAAUAUAAUUUUAAAAAUUUAAAGGGUCAAAAUAUAAAUUUUUAAAAAAACACGAAAUUGCUUGCAAAAAUUGGCACGAAUUUUACAUUUUAUUUUCUUACGAAAUUCAUAACAAAAAAAAAUCCAGCAAAUGAAAAUAAAUUAGAAUAUCACCAUUGCUUCUAAGUAGCGUAAUCUUUCUCUCGACAUUUCCUCUCUCGCCUGAAAAUCGAAAUCCAUCACGUUACUUGAAAAAAGAAGAAGAAGGAAUUACACAAGAAAAAAAUCAAAUUUUAAUAGAGAAUACGAGCUGGAGAUCGUAGUAGGCGGAUUUGGAGAUAAGAGAUCCAUCGGGAGAUAAGCAAUGGCGCUCUAGCUGAUCGAUUACUUGGAUGACGUCAGCCGGCAAGUUUUGCCCUCCUUUCACCAUGAAUUCAGUCUUGUUUUGGCUUCGAAACGAUGUUAAUGAGUUCUGUUUGUUUACUGGGAAAAUGAAAAGGAAACUAAACGAGAAAAAGGCCGGCCUUUGGAUUUUUGAAAACUUGAAUUGAAAUGGAAGCAAAGGUUAUCGAAGGCGUGAAAAUACAAAAUCAACCCUCUAUUUUCUCUUAUUGGAGAAAAAUAAAUUAAAACAUUUAUUUAUUGUUAAAAUCUGCUUUUACUCCUUGUAAUUUGAUCAAAUUUUAUAUUUAGUCCCUGUACUUUACAAAAGUUAAAAAAUUAGCUCCUCCUACAUUUUUAUUAUUUAAAAAUAACAGCCCAAUCGUUAAAAUUGCAUGUUUUUACCAAAGUCAAAUUGACAUCAUGACUAGGUUGCCCUCAUGUAAUGUAACAUAUGUUUGACGGAAAAUAAGUCAAGUUGACAAGUUUUAAUAUAAACUACCAAUAACGAUAAUGAUUGAACUAAAAUUUUUUUAAGUAAAAAAUGUAGGAGAAUUGAUUUUUUAACUUUUUAAGUAUAUGGAGUAAAUCUCAAAUUUUAUAAAAAUAUAGGGACUAAAAACAUAUUAUAACCUUUAUUUAUGUUUAAGUUAAUUAUUGUUCAUUUUCUUUUUACCUCAAAUAAAUUAUUUAUCUCAAAAUUUAUUUAAGUUUUUUUUUAAAUAUGUUAAGGAAAAAUAAGAUGAUAACUGCUAUAUAAAUUUAUCAUUUUAUUUUUAAAUAUAUAUAAUUAUUAAAAGAGUAAAAAUGUAAAAAUGCAUUAUAGAAAAACACUUAUAUUUUAUGUUUAGAAUUUAUUUUCAAUUAAAAUUAUGUUUAAAUAUUUAUUUGUCUUUAAAAAGAUUAGAAAUAAUUAAUAAAAAUCACAUUGAAGUGAGACGAGGAGAGACGAAAAUGAAUGUAUCUAAUAUCUAUGGGAGUUGUAGUACUUUUUAAAAGGUAAAAUGACUUAUUUGGCCAUCUAACUUUUAAAAAAAAUAAUUUUAGUCAUUUAUUUAAUUUUUUACUUCUUUCAAACUUUAAACUUGCUUUUGUUUAUCAAAUCACCCAAAAUAGAUAGAAAAAUUAACAUAUGUUAAUUUUGUUGACGUGACAUACACGUGAAAUGCCACAUAAAUGUCAAAUCAAUAAUUAAUUAAUUUUUAAAAAAUUAAAAAUUAAUAAACUUAUUAAAAAAUAUUUUUUUAAUGAUUUUAAUUUUAAAAAUUUGAAUAAUUAUUAAUGGAUAUACUAGAGGCAAAUCUAGGAGGAUUGGUGUCGGCAAAGAGCUUGGUGGCAACAAAAAAUUUUAAUGGAAAAAAAAUAGCCUAGUGCUGCCAAUGAGAAAACUGACGCUAAAAAAAAAAUCAAACUUUCUAACAAAAAAAUACACCGAUGUUGCCAAUGGUAAUGGCAACACAAAAAAAAUCUAUUUUUUUAAAACAUUAUUUUUUCUGAUGGGUGUCGCCAAGGAGAACGACAACACAAAAAAAACUUUUUACAAAAACUUUGAUACAUUAAAAAAAAAACACUAGUACCGCUAAUAACAACGACGACACUCAUUAAAAUAAUUUUUUCCUUUUUUUCUUUUUCUCCUGGAAUACCGAAUUUUUAUGGGGUGGACGAUUAUACAUACUGGUGCUGCUAAUGGCACGACGACACUCAAAAAUUAAUUUGGUAAAAAUUAAGAAUAACAUAUGACUAAUGGUACCAUUUUGUUAUCAAGCAUCAUGAGGGUAUUGAUAUAUUCCUCACGUGGAACAUUAAAGUCCGAACUCAAAUUUUGUUUUGUAGACUAAAAAUUAUCUUUUUAAUAAAUUUUAAUUUGAUUUAAAAUUUUAUUAAAAUGAUAUUUUUUACUUUUGGGGUGGCAAAUCACACCUAAAUAAAAAAUAUCGGUACCAUCUCUAUAUAUUUAAAAUUAAAUUAAAUUUUACUGUUUAAAAUUUAAAUAUUUCACAAUAAACUUGACAUAUCCAUAGACUGAUGUGAACAAAACUCGAUUCAAUUCAGAAAAAUUAAUUUUUUUAAUUUUGAGUUAAUCGAAUUGAGUUAUUAAUUAUUUGAGUCAACUCGAAUAAGUAAUUCGAGUUUCGAGUUCGAAUUGAUUUGAAUUUUACAAAUCGAAUAACUCUAAUAACUUGAAUAACAGAUUGAUGUACAUACCCUUUUAGUCCUUGUCAAGUUUGAAAAUAAACAAAUUGAUCUUUUUCAACAAAAAUUACAAAAAAUUCAAAAUAAAUUUUAAACUCAAAAUAUUUAUAAAAAUUCCAAAAUUUAUAUUUUUCAAAAAAUUAUAAAAUUUUCAAAAAAGUUUUUAAAAAAUUAUAAAGAAAGUUAAAAAUAAAAAAAUAAUUUAAAAUUUAAAAUAAUGUAUGUAACUAAAACAAUUAACUUAUUGUUAAAUUAUGCAUUAAAACACAAUACUUGUAUGGCAUAAAUAAUUACAAUUAGAUAGUCAUAAUUACUGAAUUAAUUUGGGCAUAGUACCUAAAGGCUCAUUCCUGAAUUUUUUUACGGAAAUGAGCUGCUUCUAGAAAUAAUUACGAUUGUGGACUGAAAAUUUAAAAACGCAUUGAUAUGGAAGCGUUUUUAGGGGAUAACCUAGAAAAACGCUUCCACGUUAGCGCUUUUGUCCUUGUAUCUGGCAAAAGCACGCUUACAUGGAUGUGCUUUUGCCCAUGCUCGAACUAAAUUUUCAGAAAAAGAUCAUUUUUUUAAAUAUUUCAAAAAUAGACCAAUUUUUUUAAAAAUUUACGAGAAUAAGUCUUUAUAAAGACCCAAAGUGACAGCACCAUUUCUUUUUUUUUUGUGCCACCAAUAUAUAUUGAAAUAAAACUUACAAAACAGAUAUUUAUAUAAACUCAAAGUAUCAUUUUCCACAUUGUAAAAUAUAAUUAGUUAUAUAAAAAUCUGUCUGUAAAUUUUAUUUUCACAUUAAUUGGUAGCACAAAAAAAAAAAAGAAAUUGUGCUGCCACUUUAGAUCUUUAUAAAUGCUUAUUCUUGUAAAUUUUAAAAAAUUGAUCUAUUUUUGUAAUAUUUUUAAAAAAUAUUUUUUUGAAAAUUUAAUCUGAGCAUGAGCAAAAAUGUGUCCACGACACAAGGGAAAAAACGCUGAUGUGAAAGCACUUUAUUCCUUAUAUAUUUAUAUAUUUGACACAAACAUAAUCCUAAUAACUACCCAAAUGUUGUAAAUUACUAAACUAUAAAUGUAUAAAAAUAUGAAAUAUUUUAAACAUGGGUACUAUAAGUUUCUACAUUAUGGCAUAUUUGGUGAAAAUUAAUUAUAUUUAUUAAAAAAAUGACUCUUAAAUUUAGGGCAAAUUACACAUAAAAGCCCUAUUUUUUUAAAAUUUACCGAAAUAGGCCUGAUAUUUUAUUAUUUAUUAGAAUGUGCCAUUUUCCCCGAAAUCGCGUCUACGUCAGCGUGAUGUUAGGGGACGUGUCAGAAAAUCGCGUCCUCGUAGGCGCGAUUUGUGUCCACGUAAGCAAAGGGCGCUGAUGUGGACGCGAUUUGCUGACACGUCCCCUAAAAUCGCGCUGACGUGGACGCGAUUUUGGGAAAAAUGGCCCAUUCCUGUAAAUAAUAAAAUACCGGGCCCAUUUCGGUAAAUUUUUAAAAAAUAGGGUUUUUUUAUAUUUUUCCCCUAAUAAUACAUAUUAAUGUAUUACUGUAAUAUGUAGCUCAAAUUAUGUAUUGUAGUUAAUAUUUAUAAUAUUGUAGCUCAAAUUGUCAAUUAAUGUAAUAUUGAAGAGUUAAUUGAUUAAAAAAAUAAAUGCAACAAGUACAAAAAAGAUUCAAAAUUAUUACCAACAAGAUUUGAACCAAGGUAUUAAGGGAAAAGAGCAAACAUCUUAACCAACUAAGCUAAAUUAAUUAAUUAACAUAUUAUAAAAAUACUGUUAUUAUCUUAAUUAUAUUACUUACAUUCUAAUGAUUUAUCGGACCUAUUCCAUACAUGUGUCAAAUCAGAAAAAAUAAUACAACAAUUCUGUAAAAAAAAUCCGGUGUAUACUUCAAAUAAAUAAGGAAAAUAAUGAUUUGAAUGUUUCAAAAUUCAAUUUUAAACCAAAAAAAUCAAAAUUUAGAGGUAAAAAAGGAUCUUUUUCGACGAAAACUGCGGCAAACAUGUAUGAUUGGUUAGUUUCAAAAUAAUGACUGAAUGAUUGGGGCAAAUGACCAAAAAAAGCCAUUUUUUUCAAAAAUUACCGAAAUGGGCCGAUUUUUUGAUUAUUUACCGGAAUGAGCCAUUUUUCGGGAAAUCGGGUCUACGUCAGUGCGAUGUCGGAGGGCAUGUCAGAGGGUCGCGUCCACGUCAGCAAGUCGCGCUGACGUGGACGCGACCCUCUCCGCGCGUGAACAGUGCCCAACGGUAAAAAAUUUGACCGUUGGCCCCCCCAACGGUAAAAAAAAGAGAGUAUAAAUACCCCCCACCCCUUUUAUUUUUUUCACAUCUCAAAUUCUCUCAAUUUCCUCUCUAAUCCUCUCAAUUUCAUUCCACAAUUCUCUCAAUUUCCUUCAAAAAUUCUUUCAAAUCCAUAUUUAAUUUCAAUUUCCCCUCAAUUUCAUUUUUUUAAAAUAAUUUUAAUUUUUUUCUAUUUCAUUAAAAUAAAUUUAAAUUUUUUUAUAUUUUCAUCAAUGGCCGGAUCAUUGAUUCGUCUUGAUAGGAAUCACAUAUCGGUGGAGCAAAUGAAAAUGGUAAGUAUUAAAUUUAAAUUCGCUAGUAUUAUUUAAGAAUUUUUUAUUUAUGUAUUUUUAGAUAAUUAUUAAUUUAUUAUUUGUUAUAAUAGUCUGAAGAUCGGGUAUUGGAAUGCAAUAUCCGGAAUAUGCGACCUAUAUCACCGUUAAUAGAGAACUACCUGCGGGAAGCGGGUUUUUGGCACGUGGCGAACAUAGGCCGGGGAUGCAAGUUGGACACGAAACUGAUCAGUGCGUUGAUCGAGAGGUGGAGACUCGAGACGUACACAUUUCAUCUUCCAUGUGGAGAGUGCACUAUCACUCUAGAAGAUGUGAGUCUGCAGUUGGGAUUGCUGGUGGACGGGCACCAGUCACCGGGUCUGCCCAAUUUAGCAAUUGGGAGGCGGUGUGCUAUGAGCUUUUAGGCACUAUUCCUGACAAAAAGGAUGGAGGUAAGGUCGAGAUGGGCUGGUUACGUGCCACCUUCCCCGAUCCGAAUGCAAAUUCAACCGAAAUUGAAAGAAUCCGAUAUGCUCGAGCAUACAUUCUUCAAAUAAUUGGAGGUUAUCUGAUGCCCGACAAGUCACGAAGCCGUGUACAUCUAAGGUGGCUGCUAAAACUAGUUGAUUUUAGAGCAGCCCGUGAAUUGAGUUGGGGGUCUGCCGUAUUGGAAACAUUAUAUCGGGAGAUGUGCGGGACGACAUGACCGAGGAGAGCAAACAUCAGAGGUUGCGUGUCACUACUGCAAUCAUGGGUACGGUUUCGCUUUCCAUUUCUACGUCCUCGAGUGAACCACCCAUAUACAUUCCCACUCGUAACGAGGUAAAUUUUAUAAUACAUUUUGGAAUUAUUAUGUAGAUUCUGUAAGAAUAAAAGAAUGCUAAAAAUUAAUUUAAUUAGGUGGAACCAUCCGUUAAGUUAUCGUGGAUUACCGUCUGAACUUGAAGAUAUACGGCUUCUCUUGGACCAACGGUCGGAAGCAGAAGUAAGUAUUAUUGCAAAUUGAUAUUUUCAUACAUUCGCUAGUCGAUUGAUAUUUAGUAUUUAGUAUUUAGUAUUAUGUAUAUAACUAAUAUUUCUAUCAUGUUCAUAUAGUUUCAAUGGAAACCAUAUGAGGAUCCGGCAAUUCGGGUAGUAAUACCGGAAGAGUUUUUACAAAAUCAGAACGCUUGGCACGUGAAAGUCGUGUUGGUAAACUACGCAACAGUGGAGCCGCACCAGACAGACAGUGUGCUAUGACAGUUUGGAUGUAGACAACCGAUUCCUGUGGACCCUGAGGUGUUUGACGAGCACAAUAAAAUUGACCUUCGGCUAUUAGGGACGGAUUGGCCUAGAUACUAGUCCGAGUUUACGGAAAUGUGGGAAAAUCAGCAUGAAUAUCUACCUACUCGGGAACCAAUCAUCGUUCCGGAAUUAGCGUGCGUUCCAGAAUACAUGCCAUGGUUUAGGAUCCAUGGCAAGCCGUAUUUACUAACGCCAGAGGAGAGGCAGCGACAAAUACGAGUCGAAAGGGAAAGGCGUGGGCCUCUAGAUCCAAGAGGAGAAGACCACGAAUGCGGCCCCUCAACGAGGCGCAGACAGUCACCCGGCUCAUCAUUAGCGGCCAUGCAAUCACCGUCCCCAAUGAAAGCACCGACCCAGUCACCUGACGCAACAAUUCAACAGAUGAUACCCACGCAACCGCCUUUCCCUAUGAUGCCAGGUGUGUUUCCUAGCCCUUAUAUGUACCCUAACCCUUACAUAUAUCCUUUUCCGAGUCCUAUGGCAGGUUGGAGCCAAAUGCCUGGUUCAGCUCCAUUUCCGAGUCCUAUGCCGAGCAGACCGCCGAUAUAUAGGCCAGUGGCGCAGGAGGGAUCGCAAGGGGGGCCGUCGGGGAGCUCUCCUUUUUACCAAUCGCCACAAACGUAUGGCUUUCAAACACCGUCGCCGUUCAUGAUGCAAACACCUCCACAUACACUAUUCUUUGAAGGUGGAUCAUCGUCCCAAGUCCGACAACCAGAUGCCGAACCGGAAGAAGCACAAUCACCACCAGAGGAAGAACAACCGCCACCGAAAGCUAGAGGAAGGAGGAACCCAGCGCGUAACCGUCGACGGCCGCCAUGUGAAACCGAAUCCCCCGUGCAUAGACAUUGAUUGCCGUAUUUUAAUUUAUUAUUUGAUGUAAUAAAAUAGAAGUUUAUUUGAUGUAAUACGCAUAGAAAUUUUUUCGAGUUAAUUUGAUAUUAUUUGACGUAAUAAUAUAAAAGUUUAUUUUAAUAUUAUUUGACAUAGUAAAAUAGAUGUUGUAUUUGAUGUAAUAAAAACCCUAACCCUAACCCUAACUUAAUUAAAAACCCUAACCCUAACUCUAACUAUAACUUAAGUAAAACCCUAACCCUAACUUAAUUAAAACCCUUAAAACCCUAACCCUAACCCUAACCCUAACUUAAUUAAAAACCUAACCCUAACUUAAUUAAAAACCUUAAAACUCUAACCCUAACUUAAUUAAAAAUACUAACCCUAACCCUAACCUUAACCCUAACCGAUAAUAGCUUAAAAACCUUAAAACCCUAACCUUAACUUAAUUAAAAACCCUAACCCUAACCUAAUUAAAAACCUUAAAACCCUAACCUUAACCCUAACCUAAUUAAAAACCCUAACUCUAACCCUAACCCUAAUUUAAUUAAAAACCCUAACCCUAACCCUAACCCUAACUUAAUUAAAAACCCUAACCCUAACCCUAACUUAAUUAAAAACCCUAACCCUAACCCUAACCUUAACUUAAUUAAAAACCCUAACCCUAACCCUAACUUAAUUAAAAACCCUAACCCUAACCCUAACCCUAACUUAAUUAAAAACCUUAACCCCAACUUAAUUAAAAACCUUAAAACCCUAACCCUAACCUUAACUUAAUUAAAAACCCUAACUCUAACCCUAACCCUAAUUUAAUUAAAAACCCUAACCCUAACUUAAUUAAAAACCCUAACCCUAACCCUAACCUUAACUUAAUUAAAAACCCAAACCCUAACUUAAUUAAAAACCAUAACCCUAACCUUAACCUUAACUUAAUUAAAAACCCUAACCCUAACCCUAACCUUAACUUAAUUAAAAACCUUAACCCUAACUUAAUUAAAAACCCUAACCCUAACCCUAACCCUAACUUAAUUAAAAACCCUAACCCUAACCCUAACCCUAACUUAAUUAAAAACCCUAACCCUAACUUAAUUAAAAACCUUAAAACCCUAACCCUAACCUUAACUUAAUUAAAAACCCUAAACCUUAAACCUAAUUUAAUUAAAAACUUUAACCCUAACCCUAAACCUAACCCUAACUUAAUUAAAAACCUUAAAACCCUAACCCUAACUUAAUUAAAAACCCUAACCUUAACUUAAUUAAAAACCCAAACCCUAACUUAAUUAAAAACCCUAACCCUAACCCUAACCUUAACUUAAUUAAAAACUCUAACCCUAACCCUAACCUUAACUUAAUUAAAACCCCAAACCCUAACUUAAUUAAAAACCCUAACCCUAACUUAAUUAAAAACUCUAACCCUAACCCUAACUUAAUUAAAAACCCUAACCCUAACCUUAACCCCAACUGGUAACAACUUAAAAACCUUAAAACCCUAACCUUAACACUAACUUAAUUAAAAACCCUAACCCAAACCCUAACCCUAACUUAAUUAAAAACCCUAACCCUAACUUAAUUAAAAACCCUAACCUUAACUUAAUUAAAAACCCUAACCCUAACCUAAACCCUAACCAUAACCUUAACUUAAUUAGAAACACUAACCCUAACCUAAUUUUACAUAAUGUUAUAUUUGGUAAAAUGUUUUGACUGGUACUAAUAAUUUACUGGCAUAUAUAAUUUUUUCAAAAAUUAUAUUUUUUUUGAUUAAUUCAAAAAUUACAUUCAACUAUUGCGAUUAAGGCAUGAUCGACUUGUAUGGCCUGGGUUCCUACACCAUCCGCACAACUUCUGUUGACUGGCUGUUUCUCGGAUAUCCAUAUUGCUCCGUAUUCUAGUGGAGCAAGGUCGACCCUUUAGUUUGUGACGCAAUUCUCUAUCCGGUAAUAGCUUAAAAGGAGCAAGAGAUACGGGCGGCCACUUACGUUCAUCUGGGACCGGUGGGAAAACAUUUUUCCAAACGUUUUACACGUUUUCCAAUUUGUACACUUCGUCAACGAAACUCAUAGGAUCUAGAUGGAGAUUCUGACAAGCUGCAAUAACAUGAGCGCAUGGAUAACGAAGUGCAUCAAACUUCCCACAGUCACAAGUCUUGUUUCGCAAGUGUACACGAUAUUGCCCGCCAACAACAUCUUGGUGCAGUCUGUCAAACUCAGUCACACGAAACUAUAAAUUGUCUCGAUCGUGACACACUGUGUGCAUGAUGUUUGCCCUCGCCUUCGCCUUGUUAAUUUCUUGAACUACCUUACUGCACCAUACAUGGCCACCCUGCAUCUGGCCUGCAUAAGUUGCUGCUCGCUUUGGAAAUAGCGCCGCCAAAUGGAAAUACAUCUCUCACACAACCACUGUUAUCGGUAGAUGACGCAUUCCUUUAAGAACAGAAUUUAUGCAUUCUGCCAGGUUCGACGUUAUAUGGCCAUAUCUUAGGCCUCCAUCGUAUGCUUGUGCCUACUGUUCGAAACGUAUGUUACAAAGGUAGUCCGCCCCUUCUUCGUUUUGGGAUCGUAAAAUUGCCAACAUCUUGUGAAAACGAUCUUUAUUUAUUUCAUACCCUGCCAAUAUAAGAUCAUAGUGAAUAUUUAAUACCACUUCUACUAAUAAAACUAAUUCAAAAUGACAAACUGAAUAAUACAGUUAUAGACUAAAUACCCAUGUUGGUCACUUGUCGUCGUUUCAUCUUAGAUGGAUAUUGCCUGUAGUAGUUCGAAGUAACGUAUCUUAGGCUAUAUCUAUGGUGUGUGCGUUGCCAUAAGCUUCCCUCUCGAUCAAAUGCAGCUAGUAUACUGACGCCCCGAUCUGAAAUAACACAGAUAUCAGGUUGGGGGCACACAUGCCUCCUUAACCUAGAGAGAAAGAAAUCACAGUCAUCAGACGACUCCCCCGGUGUUAUUGCAAAAGCAAUUGGAAGAAUUCUCCCACCGUCGUCCUGUGCCACUGUAACCAAUAGCCGAUGAGUAUACCUACCGAACAUGAAGGUACCGUCAAUUUGUACCAAUGGCUUGCAGUAUGGAAAUGCCUCUCGAAAUUACUUAAAGGUCCAAAAUAGCCGUUUGAACACUUGGCAUCCACGUAGCAAUCGGCCGUUGUAGUACGCAUGUUCCGUUUCAAGUUCUGUGAUGGCACCUGGGACGUAUCUCUCUACCACCUGACACCAGUGCCAUAUUUUAUUAUAUGAGGCGUCCCACCCACUAUGCAUCUUCUCCAACGCCUUUUGCUUAGCUAUCCAAGCCUUGCGGUAAGAGGGCGUGUACCCCAUUUGGCUACGGAUAUUGGCAAUUAUCAUCCGCACUGAAGUCUUAGGAUCUACUUUUAUCGUGGGCAGUAUCAAGCUAGCUAACAUGGCUGAAUCCAUUUUGGGAUGGUCUUGUGAAACACCUACAGAGGGACUACAUUAAUUAAUGCAACAUUGAAAAAUAAAAAUUAUUAUCCAGAUACAUUCAAUCCUGUACCUGCAGCAUAUGUAUGUGGACCUUUUUACUUUUUUAUGUCCGCACACCUCGCCUCGAACUUAUCAAAUUUUGAUUUAAUGACGUGGUAAUUAACGCCGUUUUUGAUGCUAUGCUGUUUCAAUGAACCGAUAAAACUAUCAUUAUUGGUAAACUGAUUACCAACUUCAAGUUCACUGAAAUCUACCCCCGAACUUGUACGAUCGCUCAACCAGUGUGGUAGAUAUAGAAACUCUAACACAUCAUCUGCUGACAGAUCGACAUUAUGCAUGUGGGCUGGAGGUGAGUAUGCUCUGAAUUGUGGAUUUUCUUCAUCAUCUGAACUCCUUUCAGCAUCUUCACCUUCUGUUGGAAUAGGCUCUGAUUAUGAAAAUAAUCCCACAUCUACACUAUCCGGCCGGGGCUCUCGAGGUGGAUCUAUAUCGGAUUCAUCUUCUAACUCAUAAUCAUCUGUAGCGUACGACGUCCCCUCACUGGGUAACCUGCUAACCGAGUGUCGGCCAAGGGUCAUGUAUACAUCUCGAACAUCGGACGAAAGUACAUCAGUUGGCGACGUAAAUUGUACAUAUAACUCAAUAUAAGUUGCUCCACUAGGAAGAUGUGUCUGCACCAUUGCCUCCAAGCUACGGGCACCUUUUAUGUCAAACGAGUCAUAUGUCAUCGGAUCAACACAAGAACAAAAUCGAUACGUGAUUGACAGAACUUUCAUUGGCAUCGUUCCGAAGAUUUUACGCCUAAUUCUUUUACGAAGUUCUGUCAAAUCUAUGUUCUGGUUAAAUGACAGUCGCACCGUAUUCUCCGAUAAAAAACACCAUUCUCGGUGUGGCAAACCUCACCAUCGUAGUAAAUAACAGCACUAAUACGUUCACUCAUUUUGAAACUCACACUUUCUUAGCCUCUCUAAAUUGUUUCUGCUAUGACUUAUGCUUUCUAAGAACAUUUUCUGCCUAAUUUAUAGCCUCAACCCAAACUUGCUAUUGUAGCAAAAUCGCGUCCACGGGGCCGCGGUUUCACAAUUUCUCCUCAAAUACCAUCCUGGUAGAAGCGAUUUUAUACUAUUUGCUCAGAAACGUCAAAAAAAAUCAUUUCAUACAUGACCUACUGUAGCAAAAUCGCGUCCACGGGGGCACAAUUUCACAAUUUCUCCUCGAAUUUCGUCCUGGUAUAAGCAAUUUUACACUAUUUGCUCAGAAACGUCAAAAAAAAUUAUUUCUUACAUGACCUACUGUAGCAACAUCGCGUCCACGGGGGCGCGAUUUCACAAUUUCUCCUGAAAUACCAUCCUGGUAGCAGCGAUUUUAUACUAUUUCACCAGAAACGUCAACUCGAAAUAAUUUAUUCUGGGACCUAUACAACCUAAAAAGCCUGAACCCUAAUCCCUAAAACCAAAAAAAACAAAUGUGAAAAAACAUUAGGGUCGCGUCCACGUCAGCGCGACCUGCUGACGUGGACGCGACCCUCUGACAUGUCCUCCGACAUCGUGCUGACGUAGACGCGAUUUCCCGAAAAAUGGCCCAUUCCGAUUAGGGGUGAGCAUUCGAUCGAAUCGAAUCGAAAAUUUUUGAGUUAAUCGAGUUUUCGAAUCUCAUUUUAUCAUCCUAACUUUAUUUGAAGUUUUUUCGAAUCGAGUCGAGUGAGAUGGAAUUCGAAUCGAAUCGAAUCGAAUAUAUUUGUUCGAGUUAAAUUUUAAAAAAUAAUUUUGGGUCCUUGUAACCAUUGUCACCCAUCGUAAUAAAAUUUGUCCACCUUAAUCAAAUUUUUUUAUUAACUUUCAUCACCUCAUAAUUUAUUUAUUAAUUUUUUUUAUACUGGUUAGCUUAUUUGUUUGCUUAGUUGUUUCAAUUAUCUUCGGAUUCUUGUCACUAUGUAUUUUGGAAUUAAAAAAUAUAUUAAAUAUAAAAAUAUGAUUUUUUAAUAAAAUUUAUUUUAAAAAUAAAAUUUGAAAUUGAUACCAAUAUAAAAUUUUAACACGAAUAUUUUAUGGCAUAAUUAAGAAUUCAAUUUUAAUAUAAAUAUUCAAUAUGACUAAACAAUUCAAUAAUAUAAAUAAUAUAAAAUGUGAAAUUUAAUUUAAUAAUAUAAAUAGUAUAUAUAAAUAAAAUUAUUACUAUUUAUGUUUAGUGAUUUUUUUUUGGAUAAUUUUGAUUUUUUAUUUGAGAGUAAAGGGUGAGAAGUAAAAGUUUAGGGGGAAAAUAAAAAGUUUUGGGGAAUAAAAGUUUGAAGGAAAGUAAAUAGGGGGAGUAAAAUUUUGGAGGGAAAAUAUUAAAAAAAUGGAGGGGGGAGGGUUUGGGGUAGAUGGGAGGUGGGAUGGGAAGAGAAUAAAAGUUUUAGGGGAAAAGUGGGAGGGUGUAAAAAUUUUGGGGGGAAAUAAAAGGUUUUGAAGGUGUUUGGGAGUAAAAUUUUAAAAAAAAUGAAUGGAAGAGUAAAAUUUUGGUGGGAAAUGGAUUUUGGGUAGAUUGGGGGGUUGGGAGGGGAGGGGAGGGGAGUAAAAGUUUUGGGGAGAAAGUGGGAAGGAGUAAAAGUUUUGAGGGAAAAGUAAAAAAGUUUGGGAGUUUAGGGUAAAACUGUAAAAUAUUAUAGUUUGAUAUUCGAAUUAUUCGAGUUAUUCAAAUUCGAAAACUCAACUCGAUUCGAACUCGAAAUUCGAAAAAAAUCGAGUUGAUUCGAUUAACUCGAUUAACUUGAAUAACUCGAUUCGUUUAACUCGAAAUUCGAAUUUUUUUUCGAUUUUUUCGAGUCGAAACGAAUUUUGCUCACCCCUAAUUCCGAUAAAUAAUCAAAAAAUUGGCCCAUUUUAGUAAAUUUUGAAAAAAUGGCUUUUUUGGUAAAUUGGCCGAAUGAUUGACGUUGUCAUGAAUGUUUGGUUAGUUUGAUGUAUGAUUGGUUGUAUGUAUAGCAUGUUUUGAAUGAAAGUAAAGCUUAUACAAGAUAUAUUCGUACAAGUGAUUUCCUAUGAAAUGUUAGAAAGAUUGCUAUACAUGCAGAAAACAAAAGUUGUAAAUGUACAUGAAAUUGUGAUUUGUUAAAUUAUACCACCUUGAAGUUAAAUUGAAAGUUGGAUCGAUGAUCUUACUCACUGAAUGUAUUUGAUAAUUUGAGGGCAUGUUGAACAUACCAAUAAAUUGUGAAAGUAUUGAAUUAUGACUAUGUAUGAAAUUGUAUAACAUUGAUUAGAAUUAGGUUUUUUCAACCUAUAAAUAGAUGUAGUAGAAACUCCUCUUGUAUUAUUCGAAUUCGACAUUAGUGAAUUUUUUUCUCCUCUGCCCGUGGUUUUUCUCCGAAAGGAUUUCUACAAAAAUCUGUGUUCUUUAUUUUUUUCAACAAUGUUUUUAUAUUGCCAUUAUCGAUGUUCAGUUUUUAACAUAUUCUAAUCAAUAUGAAUCGAUUUUAAUAGACAAAAAAACUAUCGAAACUAAACUUAAAUUACUUAGACUAAUCUAGAAUUGAAGCAGUACAUAUCAACCUAUAGUACCAAUAUAAUACCAGAGAGAAUCGUGAUAAGCUGGACAAUGCAUAUGUAAGCUGGACCAUGCAUAUAUAGUUUUCUAAGUAAAUUCCUAGAAUCCAUUAAAUAUAUACGCAAUACGCUCUGUCUCUUCCUUUCUCGGGAUCUCCAUGUACUGUGCUGACUUUUCCUUUUCCAUUCAGUUAUCUUAUACAACAUCAACGAAGGUUCUAUUUUAAAGAAUACCCUUCAUAAAAACUAAUAUUUUGGGUUGAUAGCUAUUCUUCCUUGAGUUCUCAUUUUUAUCAUUAUACUCAAUAUUUAUUAAUUUUUCCUUAAUGCAAUUUGCAUCAAGAAUUUGUUUAUUUUACCUCAAAGAGAUUAGACCCAACAUCUUAUCCGUACGGUGGGUAAAACAAGGACGACGCCAAGGGAACUGGUAGGGGUCAGGCCACCCUAAAACAAAAAAAAAAUCACUUUAAUCCCUUUAAGUUAAUAAAAUUAUUAGUAAACGAUUAAGUUGUAUUCAAAAAUUAUAAAAUAUUCAAACAAAUAAAAAUUUUAAAUAUAUAAAUUCGAAAAAAAUAACAUAAAAUACACUUGGAUUGUCAUUCAAGUUGUCAUACCUAAAAAUUUAAGGUUUUUAGUCAAUAUCUCCAUUCAAAAAAUUGUAAUAAUUUGACUUAAUUUGAAAGAAGGACUGAUUUAACUAAAAAAGAAUAAUGACCAAAUUGAUAAAAAAAUAAACAUUAAUGACUAACUUUGUUAUUAUCCAUAAAUAAUAAAUUAAUUUUAUCUUCAAUGGAAGUUUAAGGAUUAAGUUAAUGCUGAUCCAUAAAUAGCGGGUUCAACGCCAAUAGCUUAGCCUAUCAAACCAUUUACCUUAAUCUUGAGUAGUUAAACAAUGGGGAACGAAUAUUAAGAAGAUUUUAUAAGCACAUGAUUGAAAUCAAAGUACUUCAAACAAACAAUUUAUAUGGAUCCAUUUUCAUUGUUCAGCUCAACGACUUGCAGAAAAAUGUGGUUUGGAAACUUUGGGGUUGCAUUUAACGUAAUCAUCUUAGUUGAUGCUUAACCUCAGCAAAGAUGCAACUUUUUCUGCACCUUAUGCUAUAUUGGUUGGUAUGAGCUGAUUCCAUGAUGUUUAUAUUAUUUUAUGGAUAAGUUUUAAUUGAAUCAUUUGUAAAAAUUUGAUCUCUAAUUUUUUCAUUGAUAUGUAUGAUAUAUGUAACACCCCAAACUCGGCCUAGAAGUUUAAGCCAAAUCUAGACGAGCUACACUAACGUAGCAAAAUCGUACUUCUUGUCAGAGUUUUAACUUUGAAAAUCAAAAAAUCAUUUUAGUCAAUUUAGACGAUUUUGUAAUUUUGUUUUAGACUUGGCAGAUACUGACGAGAUUUGGAAACUUAGAACAUUUUGCAAUUGAUGGUUGGGAGGAGUUGGCAUCUCUAUCACGGUAUGGGUUUAGUUUAGUUGGACAUCGUUUCAUUUCCGUUUGGCGUUGUGCUCAACUGCAGUCUUUGGAAGCAGAGGAAGCCGAAUUGCAACCUGACAAGAUUUCACGUGUUGAAUCUUUGGAGAUAAUUUCUUGUGAUAGGCUCAAUAGACUGCCAAAAGUCUUACAUGAGCUCACAUUCCUUACAGUGAUGGAAAUUGAUAAUUGUCUAAGCUUGGUUUCUUUUGCAGAGAAUAACUUACCACCUAAUUUUAAAAAGCUGAGAAUUAGAAACUGUGAGAAUUUGGAGUAUUUGGUUGAUGAAAAAGAAGAUAAUAAGAGUAUGAGUAGUACCCUCUGUCUUCUUGAGGACUUGAAAAUCUUUGAGUGUCCAUCUCUAAUGUCUUUGUCAUCGAAGCGGCACAAAAAUAUUUGCAAUCAGCUUCAACUUCUCGAAAUUGACCAGUGCUCAAAGCUGAGUUGCUAAUUAAAAACACUAACCCUAACCCUAACCUUAACCCUAACCGGUAAUAGCUUAAAAACCUUAAAACCCUAACCUUAACUUAAUUAAAAACCCUAACCUUAACCCUAACUUAAUUAAAAACCCUAACCCUAACUUAAUUAAAACCCUAACCCUAACUUAAUUAAAAACUUUAAAACCCUAACCCUAACCCUAACUUAAUUAAAAACCCUAACUCUAACCCUAACCCUAACCUUAACCCUAACUUAAUUAAAAACCCUAACCCUAACUUAAUUAAAAACCCUAACCCUGACCCUAACUUAAUUAAAAACCCUAACCCUGACCCUAACCUUAACUUAAUUAAAAACCCUAACCCUAACCCUAACCCUAACUUAAUUAAAAACCCUAACCCUAACUUAAUUAAAAACCUUAAAACCCUAACCCUAACCUUAACUUAAUUAAAAACCCUAACUCUAAUCCUAACCCUAAUUUAAUUAAAAACCCUAACCCUAACCCUAACUUAAUUAAAAACCCUAACCCUAACCUUAACUUAAUUAAAAACCCUAACCCUAACUUAAUUAACAAACCUAACCCUAACCCUAACCCUAACUUAAUUAAAAACCCUAACCCUAACCCUAACCUUAACUUAAUUAAAAACCCAAACCCUAACUUAAUUAAAAACCCAAACCCUAACUUAAUUAAAAACCAUAACCCUAACUUAAUUAAAAACCCUAACCCUAACCCUAACCCUAACCGGUAACAGCUUAAAAACCUUAAAACUUUAACCUUAACCCUAACUUAAUUAAAAACCCUAACCCUAACCUUAACUUAAUUAAAAACCAUAACCCUAACUUAAUUAAAAACCCUAACCCUAACCUUAACUUAAUUAAAAACCCUAACCCUAACCUAAACCCUAAACCCUAACCAUAACCUUAACUUAAUUAAAAACCCUAACCCUAACCUAAUUUUACAUAAUGUUAUAUUUGGUAAAAUGUUUUGACUGGUACUAAUAAUUUACUGGCAUAUAUAAUUUUUUUCAAAAAUUACAUUUUUUUUGAUAAAUUCAAAAAUUACAUUCAACUAUUGCGAUUAAGGCAUGAUCGACUUGUAUGGCCUGGGUUCCUACACCAUCCGCACAACUUCUAUUGACUGGCUGUUUCUCGGAUAUCCAUAUUGUUCCGUAUUCUACUGGAGCAAGGUCAACCCUUUGGUUUGUGACGCAAUUCUCUAUCCAGUAACAGCUUAAAAGGAGCAAGAGAUACGGGCGGCCACUUACAUUCAUCUGGGACCAGUGGGAAAACAUUUUUCCAAACGUUGUACACGUUUUCCAAUUUGUACACUUCGUCAACGAAACUCAUAGGAUCUAGAUGGAGAUUCUGACAAGCUGCAAUAAUAUGAGCGCAUGGAUAACGAAGUGCAUCAAACUUCCCACAGUCACAAGUCCUGUUUCGCAAGUGUACACGAUAUUGCCCGCCAACAACACCUUGGUGCAGUCUGUCAAACUCCGUCACACGAAACUAGAAAUUGUCUCGAUUGUGACACACUGUGUGCAUGAUGUUUGCCCUCGCCUUCGCCUUGUUAAUUUCUUGAACUACCUUACUGCACCAUACAUGGCCACCCUGCAUCUGGCCUGCAUAAGUUGCUGCUCGCUUUGGAAAUAGCGCCCCCAAACGGAAAUACGUCUCUCACACAACCACUGUUAUCGGUAGAUGACGCAUUCCUUUAAGAACAGAAUUUAUGCAUUCUGCCAGGUUCGACGUUAUAUGGCCAUAUCUUAGGCCUCCGUCGUAUGCUUGUGCCUACUGUUCGAAACGUAUGUUACAAAGGUAGUCCGCCCCUUCUUCAUUUUGGGAUCGUAAAAUUGCCAACAUCUUGUGAAAACGAUCUUUAUUUAUUUCAUACCCUGCCAAUAUAAGAUCAUAGUGAAUAUUUAAUACCACUUCUACUAAUAAAACUAAUUCAAAAUGACUAACUGAAUAAUACAGUUAUAGACUAAAUACCCAUGUUGGUCACUUGUCGUCAUUCCAUCUUAGAUGGAUAUUGCCUGUAGUAGUUCGAAGCAAUGUGUCUUAGGCAAUAUCUAUGGUGUGUGCGCUGCCAUAAGCUUCCCUCUCAAUCAAAUGCAGCUAGUAUACUGGCGCCCCAAUCUGAAAUAACACAGAUAUCAGGUUGGGGGCACACAUGCCUCCUUAACCUAGAGAGAAAGAAAUCACAGUUAUCAGACGACUCCCCCGGUGUUAUUGCAAAAGCAAUUGGAAGAAUUCUCCCAUCGCCGUCUUGUGCCACUGUAACCAAUAGCCGAUGAGUAUACCUACCGAACAUGAAGGUACUGUCAAUUUGUACCAACGGCUUGCAGUAUGGAAAUGCCUCUCGAAAUUGCUUAAAGGUCCAAAAUAGUCGUUUGAACACUUGGCAUCCACGUAGCAAUCGGCCGUUGUAGUACGCAUGUUCCGUUUCAAGUUCUGUGAUGGCACCUGGGACGUAUCUCUCUACCACCUGACACCACUGCCAUAUUUCAUUAUAUGAGGCGUCCCACCCACUAUGCAUCUUCUCCAACGCCUUUUGCUUAGCUAUCCAAGCCUUACGGUAAGAGGGCGUGUACCCCAUUUGGCUAUGGAUAUUGGCAAUUAUCAUCCGCACUGAAGUCUUAGGAUCUGCUUUUAUCGUGGGCAGUAUCAAGCUAGCUAACAUGGCUGAAUCCAUUUUGGGAUGGUCUUGUGAAACACCUACAGAGGGACUACAUUAAUUAAUGCAACAUUGAAAAAUAAAAAUUAUUAUCCAGAUACAUUCAAUCCUGUACCUGCAGCACAUGUAUGUGGACCUUUGUACUUUUUUAUCUCCCACAACCCUGUCCUUUUCCUUAACGAGUCGACGAUUUUCCAGGAACAUGUGCCGUCUUGCACCGCACACCUCGCCUCGAACUUAUCAAAUUUUGAUUUAACGACAUGGUAAUUAACGCCGUUUUUGAUGCUAUGCUGUUUCAAAGAACCGAUAAAACUAUCAUUAUUGGUAAACUGAUUACCAACUUCAAGUUCACUAAAAUCUACCCCCGAACUUGUACGAUCGUACAACCGGUGUGGUAGAUCUAGAAACUCUAAUACAUCAUCUGCUGAUAGAUCGACAUUAUGCAUGUGGGCUGGAGGUGAGUAUGCUCUGAAUCGUGGAUUUUCUUCAUCAUCUGAACUCCUUUCAGCAUCUUCACCUUCUGUUGGAAUAGGCUCCGAUUAUGAAAAUAAUCCCACAUCUACACCAUUCGGCCCGGGCUCUCGAGGUGGAUCUAUAUCAGAUUCAUCUUCUAACCCAUAAUCAUCUGUAGCGUAUGACGUCCCCUCACUGGGUAACCCGCUAACCGAGUGUCGGCCAAGGGUCAUGUAUACAUCUCGAACAUCGGACGGAAGUACAUCAGUUGGCGACGUAAAUUGUACAUAUAACUCAAUAUAAGUUACUCCAUUAGGAAGAUGUGUCUGCACCAUUGCCUCCAAGCUACGGGCACCUUUUAUGUCGAACGAGUCAUAUGUCACCGGAUCAACACAAGAACAAAAUCGAUACGUGAUUGACAGAACUUUCAUUGGCGUCGUUCUGAAGAUUUUACGCCUAAUUCUUUUACGAAGUUCUGUCAAAUCUAUGUUCUGGUUAAAUGACAGUCGCACCGUAUUCUCUGAUAAAAAAACACCAUUCUCGGUGUGGCAAAUCUCACCAUCGUAGUAAAUAACAGCACUAAUACGUUCACUCAUUUUGAAACUCACACUUUCUUAGCCUCUCUAAAUUGUUUCUGCUAUGACUUAUGAUUUCUAAGAACAUUUUCUGCCUAAUUUAUAGCCUCAACCCAAACUUGCUAUUGUAGCAAAAUCGCGUCCACGGGGCCGCGGUUUCACAAUUUCUCCUCAAAUACCAUCCUGGUAGAAGUGAUUUUAUACUAUUUGCUCAGAAACGUCAAAAAAAAUCAUUUCAUACAUGACCUACUGUAGCAAAAUCGCGUCCACGGGGGCACAAUUUCACAAUUUCUCCUUAAAUUCCAUCCUGGUAUAAGCAAUUUUACACUAUUUGCUCAGAAACGUAAAAAAAAUUAUUUCUUACAUGACUUACUGUAGCAACAUCGCGUCCACGGGGGCGCGAUUUCACAAUUUCUCCUCAAAUACCAUCCUGGUAGCACCGAUUUUAUACUAUUUCACCAGAAACGUCAACUCGAAAUAAUUUAUUCUGGGACCUAUACAACCUUAAAAGGCCUGAACCCUAAACCCUAAAACUAAAAAAACCAAACGUGAAAAAACAUCAAGGUCGCGUCCACGUCAGCACGACCUGCUGACGUGGACGCGACCCUCUGACAUGUCCUCCGACAUCGUGCUGACGUAGACGCGAUUUCCUGAAAAAUGGCCCAUUCCGAUAAAUAAUCAAAAAAUCGGCCCAUUUUAGUAAAUUGGCCGAAUGAUUGACGUUGUCAUGAAUGUUUGGUUAGUUUGAUGUAUGAUUGGUUGUAUGUAUAACAUGUUUUGAAUGAAAGUAAAGCUUAUACAUGAUAUAUUCGUACAAGUGAUUUGCUAUGAAAUGUUAGAAAGAUUGCUAUACAUGCAGAAAACAAAAGUUGUAAAUGUACAUGAAAUUGUGAUUUGUUAAAUUAUACCACCUUGAAGGUAAAUUGAAAGUUGGAUCGAUGAUCUUACUCACUGAAUGUAUUUGAUAAUUUGAGGGCAUGUUGAACAUACCAAUAAAUUGUGAAAGUAUUGAAUUAUGACUAUGUAUGAAAUUGUAUAACAUUGAUUAGAAUUAGGUUUUUUCAACCUAUAAAUAGAUGUAGUAGAAACUCCUCUUAUAUUAUUCGAAUUCGACAUUAGUGAAUUUUUUUCUCCUCUGCCCGUGGUUUUUCUCCGAAAGGAUUUCCAUAAAAAUCUGUGUUCUUUAUUUUUUUCAACAAUGUUUUUAUAUUGUCAUUAUCGAUGUUUAGUUUUUAACAUAUUCUAAUCAAUAUGAAUCGAUUUUAAUAGACAAAAAAACUAUCGAAACUAAACUUAAAUUACUUAGACUAAUCUAGAAUUGAAGCAAUACAUAUCAACCCAUAGUACCAAUAUAAUACAAGAGAGAAUCGUGAUAAGCUGGACAAUGCAUAUGUAAGCUUGACCAUGCAUAUAUAGUUUUCUAAGUAAAUUCCUAGAAUCCAUUAAAUAUAUACGCAAUACGCUCUGUCUCUUCCUUUCUCGGGAUCUCCAUGUACUGUGCUGACUUUUCCUUUUCCAUUCAGUUAUCUUAUACAACAUCAACGAAGGUUCUAUUUUAAAGAAUACCCUUCAUAAAAACUAAUAUUUUGGGUUGAUAGCUAUUCUUCCUUGAGUUCUCAUUUUUAUCAUUAUACUCAAUAUUUAUUAAUUUUUCCAUAAUGCAAUUUGCAUCAAGAAUUUGUUUAUUUUACCUCAAAGAGAUUAGACCCAACAUCUUAUCCGUACGGUGGGUAAAACAAGGACGACGCCAAGGGAACUGGUAGGGGUCAGGCCACCCUAAAACAAAAAAAAUCACUUUAAUCCUUUUAAGUUAAUAAAAUUAUUAGUAAAUGAUUAAGUUGUAUUCAAAAAUUAUAAAAUAUUCAAACAAAUAAAAAUUUUAAAUAUAUAAAUUCGAAAAAAAUAGCAUAAAAUACACUUGGAUUGUUAUUCAAGUUGUCAUACCUAAAAAUUUAAGGUUUUUAGUCAAUAUCUCCAUUCAAAAAAUUGUAAUAAUUUGACUUAAUUUGAAAGAAGGACUGAUUUAACUAAAAAAUAAUAAUGACCAAAUUGAUAAAAAAAUAAACAUUAAUGACUAACUUUGUUAUUAUCCAUAAAUAAUAAAUUAAUUUUAUCUUCAAUGGAAGUUUAAGGAUUAAGUUAAUGCUGAUCCAUAAAUAGCGGGUUCAACGCCAAUAGCUUAGCCUAUCAAACCAUUUACCUUAAUCUUGAGUAGUUGAACAAUGGGGAACGAAUAUUAAGAAGAUUUUAUAAGCACAUGAUUGAAAUCAAAGUACUUCAAACAAACAAUUUAUAUGGAUCCAUUUUCAUUGUUCAGCUCAACGACUUGCAGAAAAAUGUGGUUUGGAAACUUUGGGGUUGCAUUUAACGUAAUCAUCUUAGUUGAUGCAAAACCUCAGCAAAGAUGCAACUUUUUCUGCACCUUGUGCUAUAUUGGUUGGUAUGAGCUGAUUCCAUGAUGUUUAUAUUAUUUUAUGGAUAAGUUUUAAUUGAAUCAUUUGUAAAAAUUUAAUCUCUAAUUUUUUCAUUGAUAUGUAUGAUAUAUGUAACACCCCAAACUCGGCCUAGAAGUUUAAGCCAAAUCUAGACGAGCUACACUAACAUAGCAAAAUCGUACUUCUUGUUAGAGUUUUAACUUUGAAAAUCAAAAAUUCAUUUUAGUCAAUUUAGACGAUUUUGUAAUUUUGUUUUAGACUUGGCAGAUACUGACGAGAUUUGGAAACUUAGAACAUUUUGCAAUUGAUGGUUGGGAGGAGUUGGCAUCUCUAUCACGGUAUGGGUUUAGUUUAGUUGGACAUCGUUUCAUUUCCGUUUGGCGUUGUGCUCAACUGCAGUCUUUGGAAGCAGAGGAAGCCGAAUUGCAACCUGACAAGAUUUCACGUGUUGAAUCUUUGGAGAUAAUUUCUUGUGAUAGGCUCAAUAGACUGCCAAAAGUCUUACAUGAGCUCACAUUCCUUACAGUGAUGGAAAUUGAUAAUUGUCUAAGCUUGGUUUCUUUUGCAGAGAAUAACUUACCACCUAAUUUUAAAAAGCUGAGAAUUAGAAACUUUGAGAAUUUGGAGUAUUUGGUUGAUGAAAAAGAAGAUAAUAAGAGUAUGAGUAGUACCCUCUGUCUUCUUGAGGACUUGAAAAUAUCUGAGUGUCCAUCUCUAAUGUCUUUGUCAUCGAAGCGGCACAAAAAUAUUUGCAAUCAGCUUCAACUUCUCGAAAUUGACCAGUGCUCAAAGCUGAGUUGCCUAUUUUCAAACACCAAGUUUCCCAUAACGCUUAAACAAUUUGACAAUUGGGGGAUGUCCAAUGUUGGAAUACAUAGCCGAGGAGUUUGAGGAAAGCGCUUGUCUUGAAUCUAUUAAUAUUGGAGAUUCUGGAAUUAAAUCUCUACCACGAGGACUAGACAAGCUCAUCCAUCUCCAGGAGAUUCGUUUGAAUUCGUGUUCAAAUUUGGUUUCUUUUGAAGAAAGUGGGUUGCCCAGCACCAGCUUCAGAGCUUUUGUCGUUGAUGGUUGUCAAAAUUUUGGAGCCCUUCCUAAGUGCAUGGCCAGCAUCACCUCCCUUCGACAAUUAAGUGUGCGCGACUGUUCGGCUGACAUAUCAUUUCCAUCGGAGGGAUUCCCUGCCAAUCUCACAUCACUUGCAAUCUCAAACGCACCCAAGAUUUAUAGGUCACUUGUGGAAUGGGGAUUAAAUAGACUCACCUCUCUUCAAAAAUUGACCAUCGGAGGUGGAGGAUGCUCAAACGUGGUGUCGUUCCCAGAAGAAGGGAUUGGAAUGAUGCUGCCUCCUUCUCUCACCCGUAUUAGUCUUUUCCAAUUUGAGAACCUGGAAUUCAUGUUCUCCGAGGGCUUUCAAGACCUCGCCUCUCUUAAAGUAUUGGACAUCGAUAAUUGUCCCAAGCUAACAUCUCUUCCAAAAAAAGUCGUGCUUCACUCCCUUGGAUAUUUAUCUCUUUCCAGUUGUCCGUUGCUACAAGAAGAGUGCUCAAGUGAUAAAGGACGAGAGUGGUCUAAGAUUUCCCACAUACCCCUUGUUGAAAUUGAUAAUAAAGCAGUCAUCCCGAGGGAAUCAGAUUGAAAGAUGAGUCGUAAAAUCUGUGAUUGGUUUCUUCAGAGUGAUGGGAGAGGUACAAAAAACCAUUUCAAACAAGUCUAACUUUCUUUACGAACAAGAUAAGAGUAGGAAUCAGUAUCAAUUUAUUGAUUAAUAUUUGCAGGGAUUGAAAGAGAAGUUGGGGUGGAAGUGAGGUUUCAGAAAGAUCCAAGUUUCAGAAAGAUCCUUUGAAGGAAAAGUAAAAAAGAUGUCACUUCUCUUGUUAAAAAUUUCAAAGAUGUUAUUGGCACACAAUUCAGGUGGAAUUUGUCAUUUAGUGUUUCAGAGGUUUGUAAACUUGUUUCUUGUUAAAAAUUUCAAUGACAAAAGUAUAAAUGUUGAUGAGAUGUUAUUGGCAUAUAGUUUAAUGGGUGGUGUUUCAGUAGUUUCAGAUGUUUGUAAACUUGUUUCUUGGCUUUGGGGUUUAAUGUUGGAGUAGCAUUAGAUCAUCGGUUUUUCUAGAAUGUGAGCUUUGUCUAUUGUUUAUUUUAUUCUUCUACUUUACUUUUCUUAUAUACAAUUUCACGUUCAACUUCAAUCUUAUAACAUUUUUUUUAAUUUUCAAUAUAUCUUUAGUUAUCUUCUAUUUUGGAAAAUUUAGGCAAAAAUGCCAUAAAGAAAACUAAUAUUUCGAAAGAAUGCACAUUUUGUUACAAAAUAUUUUUUUUCUUUUUCUCUGUCCAAAAUAUAUCAAUUUCUCCAAAUUUAGGAAAUAUCGACUUGAUUCCCUAACUUUUUUUUUAUUUCAACAUUUUUAUCUAAAUUUCUCCUAUUUUUCUAUUUCACUUUCUUGUUUUUUUUUUCUCUUUCAAUUUUAUUUCUUUCUUUUCUUCCUAUUCUUUCCUCUCUUUCCCAACCUUAACUGUCUCUAGCAUGCACUACAGCCGCACUACGACAUUUGUUCCUCUGUCCAAAUAAUGGCAUUGGUCAACUCUUUUCCUCAUUCUCUUUCAUUUCCAAAUAAUGGCGUUGGGGUUCUCCUCCGUCAAUCACCUUGCUCUUUUGUCAUCAUGUUGUCACUAAUCAGAGAAGCCACCAAAUGGUCCACAUUUCCUUUCUCUCUCCUACUUCUUUUGUCAUCACUGCUUGUUACGAUGUUGUCACUAAUCUUGAAGGCAAAUCAAUUCAACAAAAAGUGUAUUAUCACAUUCAAUUUCGACCUUUCUGAAGUCUUUUCCUCGUAUUAUGAAAACACCUUCCAACAUGGUAGAGCGGAUUUUUUUGAAUAUUGAAUAUAGAGCAUAUAUGAUAAUUGAUUAUCUUGCUAAUUGGUUAUCUUGCUUCGUUUUUCUAUAUAAAUUUAUUAUUUUACUUUUAUAUAUGUAUGAUAAUUGGUCUCUUUCUAACAUUUCAAAGUUUAAUAUUCCAGCAGAUAAGACAAUGUUGAGGUUUGGAAACUCAGAACAUUUUGAAAUUGAUGGUUGGGAGGAGUUGGCAUCUCUAUCACGGUAUGGGUUUAGUUUAGUUGAACAUCGUUUCAUUUCCUUUUGGCGAUGUCCUCAACUACAGUCUUUGGAAGCCGAGGAAGCCGAAUUGCAACCUGACAAGAUUUCAUGUGUUAAAUCUCUGCGGAUAUAUGACUUUGAAAGGCUCAAUAGACUGCCACAAGUCUUACAUGAGCUCAUAUUGCUUACAGUGAUGGAAAUUGAUAAUUGUCGAAGCUUGGUUUCUUUUGCUGAGAAUAACUUACCUCCUAAUUUAAAAAAGUUCAGAAUUAGAAACUGUGAGAAUUUGGAGUAUUUGGUUGAUGAAAAAGAAGAUAAUAAGUGUUUACACCAUUUUUUGUAAAACGGAGUCGACUUUAAUUUUGAAAAUAAAAACGAAUAUGGGAGUCACCACCAAUCUUUUUUAAUGAGGUGUGAUCGGGUCACCUCGAAAAGUUAUUAUUUUAAUAAACAAUUUGAUUUAUUAAAACAAUAAUUUCGGUCUACGGAAUUUAAAAAAAUGGGUUCGGGAGUCGGUUAUGUACGAGGAAGGAUUAGCACCCUCGUAACGCCUAAAAUUGGUACGUAGUUGAUUAAUUACUGUCUUAAUGUCGAAGAUUAAAAAUUUUGAAGAGUUUUUUUAAAAAAUAUAAUCCUUUGCUAAAAUACCGACAAUUUUCGAGAAAAGGAGUAUAUUUCACGUUAAUCGAGAGAGAAAAUUACAUCUCGUAAGUUAAGACAUAAUGUCUUGAAUUCCUGAUACGAGAAUAAAUACCAAAAAAUUAUUUAACUAUCUCGAGUUUAGAAAAGUGAUCGUGUCUCGUAAGUUAGAACACGAUCUUUUGCUAUUUCUCGAGAUCGUUUAAAAACCUUUGUUUGAAAAGAUUCGUGUAUUUAGAUUUAUUGCGAAAAUUGUAACCCCUAAGUUAGGGUACGACCUUCUUGAAUCUAAACUCGAAAUUUUACUUAUUCAAAAGUCAUAAUUUAUGCAUUGAAUAAAAUUAAUCUUACUUGAAUUAGUAAAAAUACAACACAUUGUUAAUAUGCGUAACAAAACAAUAAUAGAUACGACAAUGUAAGCAUGAAUAAUGCGAGUAACAACAAAAUAAUAAGUAAACAAAAUAAAAAGGACAAAGUGAUUACAUAUAAAAUAACAAGUAAAUAAAUAAGUAGAACUAAAACAUUUUUUAAAGUAAUAGUGUAUAUGAAUAAAUAAAUAAACACCAGGUAACAAUGAUAACAAUAAAUAAAAUAAGUAAAACUAUGUAAAAAUGAAGAUAUAUGUAUUUAUAUAUAAUUUUAAGUUAUGAAAAAAAAGUAUAUAUAGUUUUAAGUUAUAAAAAAUAUAUAUAUAAAUAUAGAUAGUUUUUAUAAAGUAAAAAAAUGUGUAUAUAUAUAAAUUAUAGAAUAUACAUAUAUAUUAUAAAAAUAUAUGUAUGCAUGUACAUAUUUUAAAAUUAUAAAAUAUAAAAGACGUAUGUAUAUAUAUAUACAGAUUAUAAAACAUGUGUAUGUGUAUAUUUAUAUUAGAAAAAUGUAUGUAUAUAUAUAAAAUUUGGAAUUAGAGGUAUAAAUGAGUAAAUAAUAAUAACAACAAUAUUAAUGAUAUAAUAUAAUAGUAAUAAUAAUAUUAACAUGAUCAAUUUAAUAAUAAAAUAACCUAAAUACCAAAUAGAUGACUAAAUUGAAACCAAACAAAACCUUAGGGCCGAAAUAAAAAAAUCUAGAACAAAGAAAAGGACUAAAUAGUGACGCGCGCGAAAGGAAGGGGACCAAAAGGAAAUUUAUCCAGGCCUCGAAAUCGGACAGCUUCGAUCGGGACCAAAUUGAAGAAGCGAUAAAUUUUUGGGGUAAAAUUAAAAAACUAAAAAUACUUUAUGGUAAAACCAUUAAAAGUGGAAGGACCUAUUGCGCAAAUAGACCCUUCACCACAAAAACACUCAGAUCCUGAGGGUAAAUGGGUCGGGUCACGGGUCAGAGACCAAAACGACGACGUUUUGGUCUCUGAACUUAAAUUCCAAAACGGCGUCGUUUCCUGCUUCUUAUUUAAACACCUUUUUUUUUUAAUUUCCCCCCUCACACUAAAAAAAAUCUGUAGAAACCUCUCAAAGCCUACCCCAUGCCCUCCGACGGUUGGGCUUCUCAUCGCCGCUCAUCCGUUCGUCGCCCCGCCACUAAACCGACGACCGACGAAGCGCGAUAACUGGCUCUUAAAGCCCUAUUUCUGGGCGAGUUACAAGGUCGGGCCUUUGAGCCCUAUAAGGACAGAGACAAAGGCCCUCGAACCCCUAUUCAAGUCUGGUCCCCACGACGGAGAACCGCCCUCUGACGGCGCGGUCACUAGGCGUCCGGUGAGCUUUUUUUCCCUCUUUUUUAUUCUUUUUUGAUAGUUUUUUUCCUUAAAAAAUAGACUUAAAAAGAGAAAAAAUGAUGAAAAAUAAAAAUAAUCAAUCGAACAAAAAACGAAGAAUAGCAACCUUUGUUUUCUUUUUAUUCCUGGUGUCCGUGAAAAAAAUACCAAAAGAAAUACAAGAAACAGUUCGGGCUUUUAUAGCCGAAUACAGAAAUAUUUUUUUGUUCUCUUCUCUGUUGUUUUCUUCUGUUUUCUUGUCCUUUUCCAUGUUGUUUUCUUUUUUAAUUUGCGUGUUUUCUUCUCAUUGCAGGUGGAACAGGUACGGAUGGGACGUGACGAACAGCGGCCAGCAAGGGUCAGAAGACGCGGCGCUAGGGUUUCAAACUUUCUGAAACCCUAGUUUGACCAAUGGGUCAGAGGGUUUUGGGCCAAUUAGAUUAUUGGGCCUUUUGGGGCCAUUCGGGUUUUGGCAUGUAAUGGACUGUUAUUUUUUUAAUAUUUGGGCCUGGGAAGAAAUUGGGCUUGUACAAUAAGAGUAUAAGUAGUACCCUCUGUCUUCUUGAGGACUUGUCUAUUUAUAAGUGUCUGUAUCUAAUGUCUUUGUCAUCGAAGGGGCACAAAAAUAUUUGCAAGCAGCUUCAACUUCUCCAAAUUACCGAAUGCUCAAAGUUGAGUUGCCUAUUUUCAAACACCAAGUUUCCCAUAACUCGUGGAUUUACUUGGUUUACUUGGUUUGGAAAAGGAUAUCUCAUUGUUAAUAAACUUAUCUUCUAUUUUGGAAAAAUUAGGCAAAAAGAUCGAAAAAAAAAUUAGGGAGUUAGGUCGAAAAUUUUCAAGUUUAAGGAGAUAUGUUGAUUUUGAACAGAAAAAUAGAAAAUGCGUCUUGAGAAAAGCGCUUUUUGCAAAACUCAUUUUCUUUUGACAAAUUAGUAUUUUUUUACAAUAUAUUUAUUAAAGAGAAAUUGAACUCGAACACUCAAUAAUAAAACUACUAAUAUUUGACAAUUUGGCUAAAAAAAAAGCUAAUAUGUCAAAAGAAUAAAAUUACCGAUAGGACCAAUGGAUAGUGUGAUAUAUCUCUAACUAGCUUCCAACCCAAUGAGCUUUCUAUAAUUUGCAAGGUAAAUAAAAACAAAUAUGUAAGCAAUGAAUGCUUAGUAAGCUCGUGUAAUCUUUAAUCAUAUUAGUUCAUCUAAAAUUGAAAUCUAUACAUAUCAAGAAUAAUCCAAUAUUAAUACCAUAAUACUCAUGAAGCUAUAUUCAUCAGCUCACGAGGUGAAUAAAUCCACAGUAUCACCUAAAUAUAUAAUCCCAAGUUUAGUAGGAUUUUAUAUAACUUUAACUCUUUAUAAUUUCUUUAUUUUCAUUUGCAUUUCUUUACUUUCCACGCUUAUUCCAUAUGUGUGACACACAAGUCAUAAACAUAUCAUUCAACCAUAGUCACAAGCUAAUGCAUUUAAUCAAAGUCUUUUUCGAAUUGAUCACAUGAUAAAUCAUUUCAUAAGAAAUUGCAUAAUCUAAACCUUACCACUUUUUAGUGAGCGCUAGCAUAUUUUUAUUUAGAUACUUUCCAAUUCAAUGCAUUAUAUAAAUAAUCAUAAUACCAUUCAACCAAUAGCUUGGCACUUGCCUAAGCAUCAAGCAAGAAUACUGGUUAGUGUACUUGCACACAUUAUAUAUAAACUCAUCAUACAUAAUUUUCUUGUAUCAACAUAUUAAAGAUAAUCAUACAUUUACAUGUCAUGAUACAUAUCAUUCUCUUGUCAUUUCUUCAUAGACAUAUAUCAUUCAUUUCAUUAUUUCAAUAUUUCAUGUACCAUCAUUUUCAUGAAUUUCGUACAUCCCAGUAAUAGUUCAUUUCAAAUUCAUGUUAUCUCACUUCAUAACUUUACCCGUUAUAUCAUUUAAAUAUCAAUGGUUACAUUUAUUUCAGAUCAAUACCAAUAAUAAUCUAUAAAUCUUUUAAUUCAAUCACAUAAGUCUUUUAUCGUUUCUUUCUGAAUCGAAGAACGACUUAUUGAUUUGAGUACAUCGUUCUUUGGUGCCAUAUUCCAACUAUGGUCUUGCACAUAUAAACACUGCCAUAGUCCGACCAUGGUCUUACAUUCAUAGUGCCAUAACCCAGUUAUGGUUUUAUCCAUCAAUUCAUCAUUUGCCACAAAAUGAUUGUACUCAAUCCCGCGUUCAAUCCAAAUUGAGUAUUAAAUUCGAUAUUAUAUUUCCAAUAAUAAUUCAAUUCCAUGUUUUCUAUUACCCUUAUUAUUUUCCCAUAUUUAUCUCGUUAAAUUUCUUGGAUAUUUGAUGGAUUUUCAGAUGUACACUUUUAGUGUACAAUUUCGGGUCCGUCAAUUCAUAUUCAUGUGGGCACAUUUUCAUUUCAGAGAGCACACUCUCGCGAACCUUAUCCUUACAAUGGGAUUACGAGUCCAGGCUAAAUCCCCUAUAAUAUAAACUCAUAGAGUGUUUUCGGGAUUACCAGUCCAGGCUAAAUCCCCUACAAUGACAAUUACUCUAAUGAGCUUGGAUCUGAAUUACCAGUCCAGGCUAAAUUCAAACCCUAAUUUGGAUUACCCGUCCGGGCUAAAUCCAUUUUCCACAUAUUCUUCGAAAGGGCUAUAUCAGGAUAGGAACACCCGUCCGGGCUAGAUCCUUUUUACCGUCAAUUCCUUUUCAGAGAUCCAUCGAAUUUUCCUUCCAUUCAACCGGGAUUUCUUUCCUUUUUUAUCAAAUAUAUCAAUGUUUCAUCAAUUAUCAUACAAUGAACAUUCAAAUCAUAUUCACAUAAAUAACAUACAUUUCAAGCAUUUAAGAAUAUAAUUCAAGUUACGCGAACCUACCGAGCUAAAUUGUAAAAAUACCAAAAUUUAAGAACAUUUUGGUAAUUUUCCAUUUUCCUCGAAUUUGUACCCAAUCUUGAUCUAAAUUAAUAUUUCUUUCAAUUUAUUAAUUUAAAUAAUAAAAAAAUUCAUUUCAUGCAACUUAGUCACUUUUUGACAUUUUUUACAAAUUUACCUUUAAAAUAUUACUUUUAUUCAAUUUAGUCCCUGAACCUAAAACAUGCAAAAUAAUCAUUUUUAAUGAAAACUCAUGCUAGUUGAAUAAUCAUAUAUUUUCCUCCUCCUCCUCUCCAUUCCACAUCCUUGAUGUAUGUAACAUGCUUAUAUGUAAUAUUAUCUAUAAUUUCACCAUUUAUUUAUAUAUUCAUUCAAAUAUGUCCAAAACUGUUUUAGUGUAAAAUGUUGAUAACUAAAUUUAUAACACUUUCCUUUCCUUUCUCUUCAAUAUUUUCCAUCACUUUCUCUUUUUUCCCUUUACUAACAAAACAAGAAUAUAGGACCUUAUAUAAUGAAACUCUACAUUGACAUUAAUUUCCCACUUUUUCAAAAAUAUAUUGAAAUCUUAAUGUUUUUACCUUGUGCUAUUGAUUUCAAUCUUUAACUUAAUUUUCUCUCUCCUCCAGCUUCUAUUUCUUUAAUCUAACUUGAUAUUCUAGCUCCCCAUAGUCUCCUUGUUAUCUUUCUCUCUUGAUGGCUAUGGAAAUUCUUUUGAUUUCUAGGUGAAAAUGGUAAUUUUUUGGUGGAAGGACCAAAUUGUAAAGAAAGCAAAACUUUCUUUCUUUCCCUCUUUUUCUCACGUUGAAUGUAUAGGAAGAUGAUAACUUCUCUUCAUUUUUCCUCCCUUUUAUAUUAAUCAUUUAAUAAUAAAAUAAUACUAAAAAUCUUAAUAAAAUAUUAAUUAAAUAACAUUUAUCUAAUUACUUAAUUAAAAAUAUCACCAACAUCAUAAUUACCUUCUAGAAUUCUCUCUCUCUAAUUGACUAUUUUGUCAUUUAUAGUCUUUUAAAAUUCCAUCCUUGAGUCAUCACUUAAUUUGGUAAAAUUGUAGUUUAGUCCCUCAAAAUUCUUUACCUUUUCAAUUUGGUCCUAAUCCAUCCAUUUUCCUUAGUUUCUAGAUUAAUCCACCCUUAAAAUAUUUUCACUAUUGGUCCUUCAACUUUUUCAUAUUUACACUUUAACCCCUCAAAUUUUGAGUAUUUACUAUUGGGCAACAAAACAUUUCUCACUUUUACAAUUUAAUCCUUUCUUGAAUUAAUAUGCCAUAAUAUACUUCCCAAUGUUAACAUAACUCAAAAUUACCCUUUUUUAUCACUUUAUUUCCUUAUUUUACUAUAUUAGGAAUAUUAUCUUACUUUCUUACUGUAGUAAUUUUCGGGGUAUUACAUUCGAGUUCGAAUUGAGUUGAAUUUUACAAUUCGAAUAACUCUAAUAAUUUGAAUAAGAGAUUGAUGUACAUACCUUUUUGGUCUCUGUCAAAUUUAAAAAUAAGCAAAUUGGUCUUUCUCAACAAAAAUUACAAAAAAUUCAAAAUAAUUUUCAAAAAUUCAAAAUAAUUUUCAAAAAUUCAAAAAUAAAUUUUAAAACUCAAAAUAUUUAUAAAAAUUCUAAAAUUUAUAUUUUUCAAAAAAAUAAAAAAAUUUCAAAAAAGUUUUAAAAAAUUAUAAAGAAAGUUAAAAAUUUUAAAAAAAAUUAAAUAAUAAUUUAAAAUUUAAAAUAAUGUAUAUAACUAAAACAAUUAAUUUAUUGUUAAAUUAUGCAUUAAAACACAAUACUUGUAUGGUGUAAAUAAUUACAAUUAGAUAGUCAUAAUUACUGAAUUAAUUUGGGUAUAGUACCAAUAAAGGCUCAUUUCUGAAUUUUUUUUACGGAAAUGUGCAGUUUUUACAAAUAAUUACGAGUAUGGUUUGAAAAUCUAAAAAUGCACUCACAUUGACGUGCUUUUAGGGGAUAACUUAGAAAAAACGCUUCCACGUCAGCGCUUUUUUUCUUGUAUCAGGCAAAAGCACGCUGACGUAGACACGCUUUUGCCCGUGCUUGGACUAAAUUUUCAAAAAAACGAUCACUUUUUAAAAUAUUUCAAAAAUAGACUAAUUUUUUUUGAAAAUUUAAAAGAUUAAGCCUUUAUAAAAACUCAAAGUGACAAUACUAUUUCUUUUUUUUUUUGUGCCACCAAUUUGUAUGGGAGUAAAACUUACAAAAUAUAUAUUUACUAUAAACCCAAAGUCUCAUUUUCUACAUUGUAAAAUAUAAUUAGUUACAUAAAGAUCUGUUCUGUAAAUUUUAUUUUCAUAUUAAUUGGUGGUACAAGAAAAGAAGAAGAAAAAAAUAGUACUCCCACUUUGGAUUUUAUAAAUGUUUAUUCUCAUAAAAUUUUAAAAAAUUGAUAUAUUUUUAUAAUAUUUAUAAAAUAACAUUUUUUAAAAAUUUAGUAUACAACACGUGGACGUAAGAAAAAAAAAGUUGAUGUGGAAGCGCUUUAUUCCUUAUAUAUUUUUAUAUUUGAUACAAACGGAAAGCAAAAAACAUUACCAACCGGCUAACCAAUGGAGCUUUGCCACGUUUACAGAAAAAUAACAUAUUACAAUGACAUUAAAUGUAUGUCCUGCGGGUGUGCAGGAAAGAUAAAUGGUUGUGUAGGCAUUGUUUAUUGAUUGGUAGCUGAUAAGAAAAUAUAGUAGAGUAUGCUCCAAUAAUAGAGUCAUUUAAUUUCAGAAAUCCAAAAACUGUGACCUGUUUUCCACUUUCUUGUGUUUUCCAUCUCAUUUCUCUCUAUUCGUUGACUUCAGCUCCAUUCCCUGUUAACCCCAAUUAUACACAAUCCAUCUCAUUUAAUUUCGGAAACUGCUUGCUGAUACUCUUCCACCAUAGCCAUUGCUUCACAGUAAAUUGCCUGCAAAAAUUGACACGAAUUUUACAUUUUAUUUUCCUACGAUAUUCAAAAAAAAAAAAACCAGUAAAUGAAAAUUAAAUUAGAAUAUCACCAUUGCUUCUAAGUAGCGUAAUCUUUCUCUCGACAUUUCCUCUCUCGCCUGAAAAUCGAAAUCCAUCACAUUACUUGAAAAAGGAAGAGGGAAUGACACAAGAAAAAAAAUCAAAUUUUAAUAGAGAAUACGAGCUGGAGAUCGUAGUAGGCGGAUUUGGAGAUAAGAGAUCCAUCGGGAGAUAAGCAAUGGCGCUCUAGCUGAUCGAUUACUUGGAUGACGUCAGCCGGCAAGUUUUGCCCCUCCUUUCACCAUGAAUUCAGUCUUGUUUUGGCUUCGAAACGAUGUUAAUGUGUUUUGUUUGUUUACUGGGAAAAUGAAAAGGAAACUAAACGAGAAAAAGGCCGGCCUUCGGAUUUUUGAAAACUGGAAUUGAAAUGGAAGCAAAGGUUAUCGAAGGAGUGAAAAUACAAAAUCAACUCUCUAAUUUUUUUAUCGGAGAAAAAUAAAUCAAAACAUUUAUUUAUGAUUAAAAUCUUCUUUUACUCCUUGUAAUUUGACAAAAUUUUAUAUUUAGUCCCUAUACUUUACAAAUUUAAAAAAUUAGCUCCUCCUACAUUUUUUAUUUAAAAAUAACAGCCCAAUCAUUAAAAUCGCAUGUAUUUACCAAAGUCAAAUUGACAUCAUGUUUAGGUUGCCCUCAUGUAUUGUAACAUAUGUUUGACGGAAAAUAAACAUGUCAAGUUGACAAGUUUUAAUAUAAACUACCAAUAACGAUAAUGAUUGAAAUAAAAUUUUAUAAAUUAAAAAUGUAGGAGAAUUGAUUUUUUAACUUUUUAACUAUAUGGACUAAAUCUCAAAAUUUAUAAAAAUAUAGAGACUAAUAAUAUAUUUAACAUUUAUUUAUGUUUAAGUUAAUUAUUGUUCAUUUUCUUUUUACCUCAAAUAAAUUAUUUAUCUCAAAUUUUAUUUAAGUUUUUUUUUAAAUAUGUUAAGGAAAAAUAAGAUGGUAACUGCUAUAUAAAUUUAUCAUUUUAUUCUUAUAUAUGUAUAAUUAUUAAAAGAGUAAAAAUGUAAAAAUACAUUAUAGAAAAACACUUACAUUUUAUGUUUAGAAUUUAUUUUCAAUUAAAAUUAUGUUUAAAUAUUUGUUUGUCUUUAAAAAGAUUAGAAAUAAUUAAUAAAAAUCACAUUAAAGUGAGACCAGGAGAGACGAAGAUGAAUGUAUCUAACAUCAAUGGGAGUUGUAGUACUUUUUAAAAGGUAAAAUGACUUAUUUGGCCUUUCAACUUAUCAAAACAAAAGUAAUUUUAGUCCUUCAUUUAAUUUUUUUUACUUUUUUUAACCUUUAAACUUGUGCUUUGUUUGUCAAAUCACCUAAAAUAGAUGUAAAAAUUAAUAUAUAUUAAUUUUGUUGACGUGACAUACACGUAAAAUGUCACAUAAAUGUUAAAUCAAUAAUUAAUUAAUUUUUAAAAUUCAAAAAUAUAUAAUAAAUUAUUUUAAAAAAAUAAAAAUUAUUAAACUUAUUAAAAAAUAUUUUUUUAAUAAUUUUAAUUUUAAAAAUUGGAAUAAUUGUUAAUGGACACGCCAGAGGCAAAUCUAGGGGGCUUGCAAGGCCCUGACCCCCAUAAAAUGGAAAAAUACUAUUUAGGCUCUUUAAAAUUUUGUAAAAUUUAAAUUAAUAAAUGUAAAAUUGUACUUUGGUCGGCCUAAAAUUAUAAAAAUUUGAUUUAAUCUUUUAGAUAUUAUAAAGAUAUAGACUAUAAAAAAUUAAAAAUUUCAGUCGCCCCCUAAAAAUUAUUCUGGCUUCACCCCUAGGACAUACAUAUGGAUUGCGAUAUCAGUAAAGUUAACAAACAUUAACUUUUUCAUGCAUUUCGAAGUGAUUUGACAAACAAUAAAAAUUUAAAAAUUAAAAAAGAUGAAAAAGAUGAAAAAAAUGACUAAAAUGAAACUUUUAUAAAAUUGAAAGAUGAAACAAAUUAUUAUACCAUUUCUUUUGUAAAACAGAGCACAAAUAUCUCAAUUUUUACAAAAAAUUAGACAUAUUUAAAAUAUGAGUGAAGCUCAGACUUAAACAUUCAAGGCUCAAACUUAGCUCAAUUUGACUCACUUUUAAGUUUAUAAUACUUUAUAUUAUAUUAUUUAAAUUAUAACACAUAAAAAUAUAUUAAAUAUAUAAUACUACUCUAAUGUAAAUAUUAAAAUAAUGUUAAGAUGUCUAUGUAAAAAAAAUUAAUAAAUAAAAUUAUAUAAAAUUAUAAAUAUUAAAUUAAUAUAAUAUAAAUAUUUUUAAAAAAUUUAAAAAUUAAUAUGGACGGACUUAAAAUGGAUUUUAAUUAGUAUUUUGUAAAUACAGACAAGCUUGAAUAAAAUUUUAGGUCCAUAUUUUCUGAUUUUCAACUUUACUCAAAAGUUUAGAUAAAUUAUUAAAUUACCCCACUUGUAAUUUUUGUAAAAACAUUUAUGAUUCGAAGCGAAUCCACACUUGACAGACGUGAGCUUGAGGGCAGCGAAGAAGACUACUCGGUCAAAGCGUUCAUCCUAAAUGAAUUGAAAAAGUACUUUUGAUUAAUUGUUUAAUACUUUAGAUAUCACAACUAAGACCUUGUUUUGAAAAAAUUUUAAAACUCUAGUUUUUCCCUAAUUUUAUUUUCACCUGUGUUUUCUAAACUCGUUUUUUUUUCCAAAAAUGUACUCAUGAGUCUUCAAAAAAAAUAGUAUGUCUUCAACGGGUUUAUCAAACAUGAUUUCUUUUGAACCGUAAUGUUCAGGCCGGGUUUGGGGUAUUACAAAUCACUUAGUCCUCGAAUUUUCUUGGGUUCAAUCCUUAGAAUACUCGAGUGUUCCAUUAUAACACUAAAAAUAUUACAACUCGUGUAACAGUCCGAUUUUUGGUGAUGUCAGAGAUAGUGGUUCGGGCCACUAAAUUCAACGAGUAAGUUCGUAAAUAUUAUUAUUUAAUAUUUACAAGUUAAAUGUGUUUAUUAAAAAAAAGUACAUUCUCGGGACUCCGUUCCCGUAGAACAGACUCAUAAAUCUUUUUAAUAAAUAUUUACGGAGCUAGUUGUGUAGUUAAUUAGGUUUCGAUUAAGUAAAUUUGCUUGAAUUAAAAGUAAUUAGAUAAAAAGACUAAAUUGAAUUGAUUGUAAAAGUUUAAUUAUGAAAUAAAUAAAUAAAAGGGACUAAAUUAGCAAAUAAACAAAAAGUGACACUUGUGUGGUUAUAAUAAAAUACAUGUGUAAUAAAUAUAUACAUACGUUUGUAACAAUAUGUAUAAUUUACUUAUUAUUUAAGUAUAAGAUAUUUUAGAUUAAAAUAUUAUUAUAUUAUAUUAUUAUUAUAAACAAAAGAAAGAAAAGAAAUAAGAAAGAAACAGAAAGCUUAAAACGAAACAGUGAAGGAAAGAAGGAAAGAAAAGAAAAGAAAGAAAGAAAAGGGAAAAUUGUGGUUUUGAAGUUUGUCAAAUUAGUCUAUUUUCUUGUAAUUUUGAUAUUUUUGAAAUCCUAGAACAAAAUACUACUUGGUUUAAGUUGAAAAUUUGAAAGUUAGUAAAUUUUUAGAUGUUGUUCAUGUUGAAUUAAUUGAUGAAUUAGGGAUUAAAUUGAUUGAAUUUCAAGUUAGAAAUUAGUAAAGGGUUGAUUUGUAAAAUAAAACAUGAGUUAAUUGAACUAAAAUUGACAAGUGCAAAUGAGUUAAAUUAGCACCCUUUUUGUGUGAAGUGAGUGAAUCGCUUCUUAAACAAUAAUGCUAUCAUCAACUAUAUGUCUACCCGUGAGAAUGCUGUACUAGAAGGGGAAAAUGAGUUUUUAAAGGAAGGGAUGAAGGUGAUUGACCGUUAUUUUAGUAAUGAUCUUAUAAGUGAUUAAUUCGAGAUACGAGAAUUGCGGAGAAGACCGUUUAGUAUAAAGCCAUGAAAUAACUUAAUCCACGUAUUACAAAACACAUGUAACAACUUAGUUAAGGGUAUAUUUUUAUAAAUAUAAAAAAGAUUAAUUAAAAAAAAUUAAAUUUAUGUCUAAAUAUAUUAUUUUUAAACCAAUUUUUCCAACAUAAGAAAAUGCAACUAUGAUAAUCUUAUGGAUAUAUGUUAUUUUAUAGUUUCUUGUAAAUCAUUAUCUGAAUGCGUCCCCACUGAGUACAGCAAUAAUCAAAAACAAAAGUUGAUACUCAUAUGUGUGGUAUCUUUUACAUUCAGACUAUGAAAAAUCGAAUCCUUUUUGGCUAAUUGAAUCCUAAUCAUGGUUGAAACCAAGAAUCUAUUGGAUUUAUAUUCCAAUAUGCUUCGUUUUAAUGUGCAUACCAGAGGCGAAUCUAGGUGUGCUUGUAGGCCUUACCCCAUUAAAAUAAAAAAUUAUUAUUUAGGUUCUUUAAAAUUUUUUAAAUUUUAAAUUAAUAAAGAUAAAAUUUUACUUUGGCCGUCUUAAAAUUAUAAAAAUUUAAUUUAAUCCUUUAGAAAUUAUAAAGAUAUAAACUAUAAAAAAUUAAAAUUUCAUUCGCCCCCUAAAAAAUAUUUACGAAGCUAGUUGUGUAGUUAAUUAGGUUUCGAUUAAGUAAAUUUGCUUGAAUUAAAAGUAAUUAGAUAAAAAGACUAAAUUGAAUUGAUUGUGAACGUUUAAUUAUGAAAUAAAUAAAUAAAAGGGACUAAAUUAGCAAAUAAACAAAAAAAUGUGACACUUGUGUGGUUAUAAUAAAAUACAUGUGUAAUAAAUAUAUACAUACAUUUGUAAUAAUAUGUAUAAUUUACUUAUUAUUUAAGUAUAAGAUAUUUUAGAUUAAAAUAUUAUUAUAUUAUAUUAUUAUUAUAAACAAAAGAAAGAAAAGAAAUAAGAAAGAAACAGAAAGCUUAAAACGAAACAGUGAAGGAAAGAAGGAAAGAAAGAAAAGGGAAAAUUGUGGUUUUGAAGUUCCGUCAAAUUAGGGUGGGUUUGGAUGGGCGAUUGGGUGCGAUGCGGUGCAUUUAGCUUACUUUUUGUCUCACGCUACAGUAUCACUACAGUAUCUAAUCUCACCGCCACCGCUAUUUUUACACUAACCGCAGAUAAACGCACCGCCCAUCCAAACUCAAGGUUAGUCCAUAUUCUUGUAAUUUUGAUAUUUUUGAAAUCCUAAAAUAAAAUACUACUUGGUUUAAGUUGAAAUUUUGAAAGUUAGUAAAUUUUUAGAUGUUGUUCAUGUUGAAUUAAUUGAUGAAUUAGGGAUUAAAUUGAUUGAAUUUUAAGUUAGAAGUUAGUAAAGGGUUGAUUUGUAAAAUAAAACAUGAGUUGAUUAAACUAAAAUUUACAAGUGCAAAUGUGUUAAAUUAGCACCCUUUUUGUGUGAAGUGAGUGAAUCGCUUCUUAAACAAUAAUGCCAUCAUCAACUAUAUGUCUACCCGUGAGAAAGCUAUACUGGAAGGGGAAAAUGAGUUUUUAAAGGAAGGGAUGAAGGUGAUUGACCGUUAUUUUAGUAAUGAUCUUAUAGGUGAUUAAUUCGAGAUACAAGAAUAGCGGAGAAGACCGUUUAGUAUAAAGCCAUGAAAUAACUUAAAUCCAUGUAUUACAAAACACAUAUAAUAACUUAGUUAAGGUUUUAUUUUUAUAAAUAUAAAAAAUUAAAUUUAUGUGUAAAUAUAUUAUUUUUAGACCAAUUUUUCCAACAAGUUAAAUGAAUCAUUUCCAAUUGAAACCGAGAAUGAAACACCCCAAUAAGAAAAUGCAACUAUGAUAAUCUUAUGGAUAUAUGUUAUUUUAUAGUUUCUUGUAAAUUAAAAUUUCAUUUGCCCCUAAAAAAUUAUUCUGGCUUCACCCCUGAGACAAACAUGAAUUGGCACAUCAGUAAAGUUAACAAACAUUAACAUUUUCAUCUAUUUUAAAGUGAUUUGACAAACAAUAAAAAUUUAAAGAUGAAAAAAUGAAAAAAAAUGACUAAAAUGGAAUUUUUAUAAAAUUGAAAGAUGAAACAAAUUAUUAUACCAUUUAUUUUGUAAAACAGUGAUGACAACCCCUCUCAAUUGCCAUCCUUGGUGUUAGCAACCCCAAAAUGGUAGGUAAUGUUGAUAUAAAUAUACAAUUAUUAAUUGUUCCAAGUGCAGAAAACCACAAUAAUAACUUUAUGAGAAACAAAAUUAAGAAAAUAAAUGAAAAUGUUUGAGCAAAAAUAUCUCAAUUUUUACAAAAAACUAAACAUGUUUAAAAUAUGAGUGAAGCUCAGACUUAAACAUUCAAGUCUCAAACUUAGUUCAAUUCGACUCAUUUUUAAGUUUAUAAUACUUUAUAUUAUAUUAUGUAAAUUAUAAUACAUAAAAAAUAUAUUAAAUAUAUAAUACUACUCUAAUGUAAACAUUAAAAUAAUGUUAAGAUGUCUAUGUAAAAAAAAUUAAUAAAUAAAAUUAUAUAAAAUUAUAAAUAUUAAAUUAAUAUAAUAUAAAUAUUUUUAAAAAAAUUAAAAAUUAAUAUGGACGGACUUAAAAUGAGUUUUAGUUAGUAUUUUGUAAAUACAGACAAGCUUGAAUAAAAUUUUAAGUCCAUAUUUUUUUAUUUUCAACUUUACUCAAAAGUUUAGAUAAAUUAUUAAAUUACCCCACUUGUAAUUUUUGUAAAAAAGUUUCUGAUUCGAAGCGAGCCCACACUCGGCAGACGUGAGCUUGAGGGCAGCGAAGAAGACUACUCGAUCAAAGCAUUCAUCCUAAAUGAAUUGAAAAUGUAUAAUUUUGAUUAAUUGUUUAAUACUUUAGAUAUCACAACCAAGAUCUUAUUUUGAAAAAAAAUUAAAACUCUGGUUUUUCCCUAAUUUUAUUUCUCCUAUGUUUUCUAAACUCGUUUUUUCCAACAACGUACUCAUGAGUCUUCAAAAAAAAAUAGUACGUCUUCAACGGGUUAAUCAAACAUGAUUUCGUUUGAGUUUAAGAGGUUUGCCAAAAUGAAGUAAUAUUGUUUUCAUAUACAGUGUAACCUCCACAAUCUAACCUUAACGUUUAGGCUAGGUUUGGGGCAUUACAAAUCACUUAGUCCUCAAUCUUUUUUGGGUUCAAUCCUUAGAGUACUCGAGUGUUCCAUUAUAACACUAAAAAUAUUACAACUCGACUUGUCACACUUGCAGUACACUGCUAGAUUAUUGAUUGGUUUGCGUUGAUUAUUAUCCCCAAUGUGCACUGUCAAGUUGUUGGCGCUGUUGUCAGGGAGUUUAUGUGUGAUUGAGUGAUUUGCUUGAUUAAUGCUUGUUUACUAGGGAGAUAACUAGCAAAACUUAAUUCUAUAGAUAUGACACUUGUUUUUCUUUCAAUUGCUCAUUUAUUUUCUUAGUUAAGUAUUCUUGAAAUUGAAAACUUAUAGAAUAAUCUUGACAUCACCCUUUCACAAUGGAGAGCUAUUUUUGGACUAAUCUUUCUUCUCAUUUAUUCUGGCUUCACGGUGUUAUUGAAUCUCAUACCUACUCUCUGCCGAUCUUGAAAUGUACACAUCCAUCGUCACCUUCUACAACUGCUUCAUCGAAAAGAAUGUACACCAAAAUCAUUAUGUUAUUCAUCUUCAAAACAAUUUUUGUUUUUUCUUCUACUAAACACAAAUAUUUCACAAAUAUUUAAGUUGAACAGUUACAACAAUGUUAAAAAAAUAGUAUAUUUAAGGAUUGGUGCUACCAAAAAGCUUGGUGGCAACAAAAAAAUUUUAAUGGAAAAGAAAAUAGCCUUGUGCCGCCAACGAGGAAAAUGACACAAAAAAUUAAACUUUCUAACAAAAAAUGUAAUGGCCCAAAUUCAAGGUUAUCGGAAUAGUGGUUUCGUAACCACAAAUCCGAUUUAAAGAGAAAUUUAUUUUAAUAUUUUUCCAUGAAUAUUGGAAUGAUAGGAAAAUAGUAUAAAAAUAUCGAUAGAAAAAUUUUAUCGAUUUAGUGAUUAGUUAGAAAAAGAAAUUAGUGAAGAAAUUGGGUAAAAAUAAGGUAUAGAGACCUCAAUCUCGUAAAACCGAGUCAAAAAUAUUUUUAUAAAUAUUUAUGAACUGUUAAUAAUAUGGUAUUAAAAUUUCGUUCGAAAAUUUUGAUGUUUGGGUAGUCAAUUAAGUGAAAAGGACUAAUUUGAAAAAGGUAUAAAAGUUACUAAAAGGAUUAAAUAGCUCAAUUGUUAAAUGAGGAGGGACAUAAAUUGAAAAUAACCCCAAAAGGAUUCAGGAGAAUUGAAGAAUUAAGGGUAAAAUUGGAAUAUUGCAAAAUUUGCUUUAAAAGAUAGGACUAAAAUGGAAUUAUCUAGAUUUCUCUUCAUUUUUCUGCAUUCCCAUCAGCCAAAAACGUCCUAAGGGUUUCUCCAAGCUGGUUUUUCAUAAUUUUUGCACCAAGUGAGUUAAUCCUUGCCCUUUUCUUGUAAUUUUUGUGUUUCUAAGACUUUUACAACUAGGUCCUAUUACUAAAUUCAUUAGUUUUCGAUUUUGUGGAUGAAGUUGAAAGUUGCUAUGAAUAUGUGCUGGAAUUUUAUGAUGAUAUAGGAUGAAAUUGAAGCUUUAAUCUAUUUAUGAGAUGAUUUUAUUAGGUACUUUCAAUAGAAAUUGAUUUGUAGGACCUAAUUGUGAAAAAGUUUGGAAUUAAAGUCUAGUACUGAAAUUCUGAUUUCCAAAGCUUAUGAAGUAGUUUAAAGUGAUGGGAUAAAGUGUUAAUUGAGAAAAAUCAGCUCAAUUGAUAGGUUAAUUGAGCAGGGAUGAAAUUAGCAUUUAUUGAAAGUUUAGGGAAAAAUGGUAAUUAACAUUAUACACUAAAACAGAUUUGGACAGCAGCAGUAGGUUAACUUUGAAAAAUCACCAAAAAUUGUAGAAAUCGAAUUAGAGGAUGAAUAAAAUAUGAAAUUAAAUCUUAUUGAGUCUAAUUUCUCAUAGAAGAAACGGUUUAAUCAAUGGAAUUGUAAAUCAUGAGAUAUAAUGGAUUUUGUGAGACAAAGUCAGAAGGAAUUCUGGUUCCCCUGUUCUGACUUUGGAAAAUCAUUAAAAAUUGUAGAAAAAUGAUUAUGAGUUGUAAUUUAUAUGUUUAGAAUCCUUAAUGAGUUUAUUUUCAUAAGCAAUAAACGGAAACAUCAUCCAAAUUCUGUAGAAUGAGAUAAUUAAUUUUUAGUGAAGAGGGGUCGGAACUGUCAAACAAUGAAACAGGGGAAUUUUAAAGAAUAAACUGUACUUGUUGGCCAAACCAAAAAUUCUGAAAAUUUUAUGGUAAUAAGAUAUGUGAGUCUAGUUUCAGGUAAAAUUAACGGAUCUUAAUUUUGAGUUCCGUAGCUCAAGAUAUAAAUAUUUUAGUGACUGUGACUCAGUGAGACAGCUUUGAAUGCAUUAUAAAUUAUAAUGGAAUUAUAGAGAAUGUUACAUAUGAACAUGAAAUGUAUUAUAUUAAUGAUUAAAUUUAUUUAUUUAGAUCCAGAAAGUUCAAAUACGAAGCUAGAUCGAGGUAAAGAAAAAGUUCGGGAUUAGUAGAUUUUUGUUUACAAACAAGUGUCGAGGUAAGUUCUUGUAACUUGAAUUAUAUUCAUAAAUGCUUGAAAUGUUUGUUAUUGAUGUGAAUAUGAUUUGGAUGUUUAUUGUAUUAUAAUUGAUGAAGUAUUGAUAUUCUUGAUGAAAAGAGGAAAUAAAUCCCGGUUGAAUGGAAGGAAAAUUCGAUGGAUCUCUGAAAAUGAAUUGACGGUAAAAAGGAUCUAGCUCGGACGGGUGAUCCUCUCCUGAUAUAGCCCUCCCGAAGAAUAUGUGGAAAAUGGAUUUAGCCCGGACGGGUAAUCCGAAUUAGGGUCUGAAUUUAGCCUGGACUGGUAAUUCAGAUCCAAGCUCAUUAGAGUAAUUGUCGUUGUAGGGGAUUUAGCCUGGACUAGUAAUCCCGCUGUAAGGAUGAGGUUCGCGGGAGUGUGCUCUCUGAAAUGGAAAUGUGCGCACAUGAAUAUGAAUUGACGGACCCGGAUUUGUACACUAAAGUGUACCUCUGAAAAUCCAUCGAAAUUCCAAGUAGUUCAACGGGAUAAAUAUGGAAAAUAACAAGGGAAUGGAAAUCAUGGAAUUGAUGAGCUCAUCAAUCAUGGUAUAAAUUAUUGAUACAUGGAAAUUAUUGGACUAAUUUGAAUGUUGAGUUUGUGCAUGAUAGGGGAAUAAUGUAUUGAAUGAAUGUAUGAAUGUUUAUUGUAUUGUAUUGAAAAUAUUAGGUAAGUAUAAUUCUUGUUACAUGAGCUUACUAAGCACAAAGUGCUUACCCUGUUUCCUUUUCCCCUGUUUUGUAGUGUUAAGAGCUCGGAGGUCGGAUUUGGUCGGAGACGCAUCACACUAUUAACCUCAAGAUCUCGGUAUAUAAAGAAACUUUAUUUUAGAAAUCAAUGGCAUGUAUAAGCUAGUAAAGUAGAUGUUAAUGUGAAAUGAAUGUAUAGUUAGCCAUUAGUAUGGCUAACAAACUUUGGUUUUGGAUAUGUGAUGAUAUUAUCUUAUGAAUAUUAUAAAUCUAUCUUGAAAAUAUAUAUUGAAAUGGAUUAGUUGUGUCGAAUUAGCCUCGGUUUAAAAUUUACAGGUAAGAUUUGAUAUUUAUAAAGGGGUUAUAUGAAAAAAAAAUUUCAGUAAAAUUUGGUAAUACCUCGUAUCCUAUUCCGGCGAUGGAAACAGGUAGGGGGUAUUACAUUUGUUGGUAUCAGAGCUACGGUUUAGCCGGUUCUCGGACCGACGUAUCAAAAAUGGGGUUAGCUAUACAUGCCAUUUAAAUUAUUGUUGAUAGUGUGAUAUCUCUUGACCAUUUGAAAUGUGAUUUUCUUAUAGUAAAUGUCUGCCGACCGAGCUCAAACUGAGGAAGCCGAGAGUCAUGCUCCAGCUUCAGAACAAAGAGAAGCUGAAGCUACUAGUAGUAGAAAGUCCGAGACAAGGGACCAAAAUGAAGAAGCUAAAAUGGCCUUCUAUCAAAUGAUGAAUGAAUGGUUUACUCAGUAUAUAAGAACUAACCCUGUAGUGAAGCAAACUCAAGCUCCCCCUCCUCCUCCUCCAUCGGUUUCCGAGAUUCUGCAGGGUACAGGUGCCGAAUCUAUCAGAAAAGGGACAGCUCCGGUUGAUAAAAUUAGAUAAUAUGGGGUAGAGGAAUUCAGAGCUACAAUUAAUGAUGAUCCCGAACGAGCUGAGUUUUGGUUAGAGAAUACUAUUCGGGUUUUGGAGGAACUAUCUUGCAUACUAGAAGAGUGUCUGAAAUGUGCAGUAUCAUUGCUAAAAGAUACAGCUUACCACUGGUGGAAUACUAAAGUUUCAGUUGUUCCGAAAGAAGAAAUUACGUGGGAAUUCUUUCAGACCGAGUUCAGAAAGAAAUAUAUUAGUCAGAGGUUCCUUAAUCAGAAGAGAAAAUAAUUUCUUGAGCUAAAACAGGGUAAUAGAUCAGUAUCUGAGUAUGAAAGAGAGUUUGUCCUAUUGAGUAAAUAUGCUCGAGAAUGGGUACAAUCAGAGGCUGAAAUGUGCAAAUGGUUCGAAGAAGGGUUGAAUGAAGAAAUUAAGCUACUGAUCGGAAUUCUUGAAAUUCGAGAGUUUGCUACAUUGGCAGAGCGAACUUAUAAAGCAGAAGAAUUGAGCAAAGAAAAGAAACAAGCUGAAAGAGAAGCUCGGGUUUUCAGUAAAAGAUCGAUGGAAAAAUCUCAAUUUUUUGCUUCAAAAAAAUUGAAGAAAUACCAGGACCGUUCUACCUCAGCCACUGGGUAUUCGGGUAGAGAGCGAGGUUUUCAGCGUACUAAUCCAAGACCUUCUACCCCAUCAGUGACCAGUGUUGGCAGUGUUGGUACCCCUAAGCCAAGAUGCCAGUACUGUAAUAAAACUCAUUUUGGUGAAUGCCGAUUAAAGAGCGGGGCUUGUUACCGAUGUGGUUCUUUCGAUCAUUUCCUCAGACAUUGUCCAGAAAGGGGUGAAAAUAAGCUGAAUAGACAGCAAAGCUGAGUAAUCCAGUUUUGAGGGGUAGACCACAUCGAUCAUCUGGUGAUGUCGGUGGUAGCCGAAGAGCUACGAGAGAUACUGUAGGCAGGCCUGAGGUACGAGCACCUACUAGGACAUAUGCCAUCCGUGCUAGAGAAGAUGCUUCAGCACCUGAUGUUAUUACUGGUACAUUUUCUUUACUUGAUACUGAUAUUACUGCAUUGAUUGAUCCUGGUUCUACACAUUCAUACAUAUGCACAAAAUUAGUAUUUGUUAAAAAUUUAUCUGUUGAACCUACUGAAUUUGUGGUUAAAGUCUCGAACCCCCUGGGCCAGUUUGUGAUGGUGGAUAAAGUGUGUAAAAAUUAUCCACUGAUGGUAAGAGGUUAUUGUUUCUCGGUUGACUUGAUGUUACUUCCUUUUGAUGAGUUCGAUGUGAUAUUGGGUAUGGAUUGACUAACUCAGCAUGAUGCAGUAGUAAAUUGUAGACAGAAAUAUAUUGUGUUGAAGUGUCAGAAUGGAGAAUUACUUCGGGUUAAAUCUGAUCAGACAGAGGAAUUAUCUAAUGUGAUUUCAGUGCUGACAGCUCAGAGGUGUAUUAGAAAAGGGUAUGAUGCUUAUUUGGCAUAUGUGUUAGACACUACGGUAUCUGAAUCAAAGAUCCAGGCAGUGCCAGUUGUAUGUGAAUUUUCUGAUGUGUUUCCAGAGGAAUUACCGUGGUUGCCGCCAAAAAGAGAAGUGGAAUUUUCUAUAGAUCUGAUUCCGGGAACUACUCCGAUCUCCAUAGCUCCAUAUCGUAUGGCUCCUACGAAAUUAAAUGAGUUAAAGACACAAUUGCAAGAACUUGUUGACAGGGGUUUUGUUCGACCGAGUCAUUCACCUUGGGGUGCUCCGAUUCUAUUUGUGAAGAAGAAGGACGGAUCCUUAAGAUUAUGUAUUGAUUCCCGACAGCUCAACAAAGUCACUAUAAAGAAUAAGUACCCAUUGCCUCGAAUUGACGAUCUGUUUGACCAGUUGAAGGGUGCCACUGUAUUUUCAAAGAUUGAUCUCCGAUCGGGCUACUAUUAGUUACGGGUAAAGGAGUCAGAUGUACCAAAAACAGCUUUCAGAACCAGGUACGGGCAUUAUGAGUUUCUUGUUAUGCCGUUUGGGCUGACUAAUGCACCUGCAGUAUUUAUGGACUUGAUGAAUCGGAUAUUCAGCCCGUACUUAGACAGGUUUGUGGUAGUUUUUAUUGAUGAUAUAUUGGUCUAUUCCCGAGAUGAAAAUGAAUAUGCGGAACAUUUGAGAAUUGUGUUGCAAAUUUUGCGAGAGAAGCAACUAUAUGCUAAAUUCAGUAAAUGUGAAUUUUGGCUGCGAGAAGUGGGUUUUCUCGGACAUAUUGUAUCCGCAGAAGGCAUCAGAGUAGAUCCGAGUAAAAUCUCAGCUAUUGUCAAUUGGAGUCCACCGAAGAAUGUAUCUGAAGUUAGAAGUUUCUUGGGUUUAGCUGGUUAUUAUCGAAGAUUUGUACAGGGGUUUUCUAUGAUAGCUUUUCCGAUGCCCCGCUUAUUACAGAAAGAUGUUAAAUUCGAGUGGGCUGAUGAAUGCCAACAGAGUUUUGAUCGAUUAAAAGAGUUGUUGAAAAAAGCACCUGUGUUGGUACAGCCUGAACCGGGUAAAGAAUUUAUUAUUUAUAGUGAUGCAUCAUUAAAUGGUUUAGGUUGUGUCUUGAUGCAAGAAGGUAAAGUUGUAGCUUAUGCUUCGAGACAACUUAAGCCACAUGAAAUAAAUUACCCGGUGCAUGAUCUUGAAUUAGCUGCUAUUGUAUUUGCAUUAAAAAUAUGGCGGCAUUAUUUGUAUGGUGAAAAAUGUCAUAUUUAUACUGAUCAUAAAAGCCUGAAAUAUUUGAUGACACAGAAAGAUUUGAACUUGAGACAGCGUGGGUGGCUUGAACUGAUAAAAGACUAUGAUUUGGUUAUUGAUUACCAUCCGGGUAAGGCUAAUGUUGUAGCUGAUGCUCUGAGUCGAAAAUCUCUGUUUGCUUUACGAGCUAUGAAUGUCCAGUUGUCUUUGGUUGAUGAUGGUUCAGUCGUAGCUGAGUUGAGAGUUAAACCGACAUUUUUACAACAAAUAUAUGAAGCUCAGAAAAAUGAUGAAUAGCUACAGGCUAAAUGGGUACAAUGUGAGUCAGGUAAUGAUUCAGAAUUUCAGAUUGGAACUGAUGGUUGUUUAUUAUUCAGAGGCAGAGUAUGUGUACCGAAGAAUUCAGAGCUUAUACAGAAGAUUUUACAUGAGGCAUACAGUGGUAUUAUGUCCGUACAUCCGGGAGGUAAUAAAAUGUAUAAUAAUUUGAAGAAGAUGUACUGGUGGCCAGGUAUGAAACGUGAUAUUUCUAAGUUUGUAUCAAGAUGUCUAAUAUGUCAACAGGUCAAAGCUGAACACCAGGUACCUUCGGGAUUGCUCCAGCCAAUUACCAUACCGGAAUGGAAAUGGGAAAGAAUUACUAUGGAUUUUGUGUCAGGAUUACCAUUGUCACCGAAAAAGAAAGAUGCCAUUUGGGUGAUCGUUGAUCGAUUAACAAAAUCAGCACAUUUUAUCCCGGUACGUAUGGGUUAUUCUCUAGAUAAAUUGGCUGAACUGUAUAUAUCUGAGAUUGUCAGGCUGCAUGGAGUGCCAAUCUCUAUUAUCUCUGAUAGAGAUCCCCGAUUUACAUCUCGUUUCUGGGACAAAUUGCAAGAAGCCUUGGGUACUCAGUUGAUCGAUUAACAAAAUCAGCACAUUUUAUCCCGGUACGUAUGGGUUAUUCUCUAGAUAAAUUGGCUGAACUGUAUAUAUCUGAGAUUGUCAGGCUGCAUGGAGUGCAAUCUCUAUUAUCUCUGAUAGAGAUCCCCGAUUUACAUCUCGUUUCUGGGAUAAAUUGCAAGAAGCCUUGGGUACUCAGUUGUAUUUCAGCACUGCAUUUCAUCCUCAGACAGAUGGCCAAUCUGAGCGUGUAAUUCAGGUACUGGAAGAUAUGCUCCGAUGUUGUAUAUUAGAGUUUGAAGGUAAUUGGGAGAAGUAUCUACCUUUGAUUGAAUUUGCUUACAAUAACAGCUAUCAGUCCAGUAUUAAAAUGGCUCAGUAUGAAGCUUUGUAUGGUAGAAAAUGUAGAACACCAUUAUAUUGGACAGAGCUCAGUGAAAAGAAGAUACAUGGGGUUGAUUUGGUCCGGGAAACAGAAGAAAAAGUUAAGGUGAUUCGAGAUAGUCUAAAAGCAACUUCCGAUCGUCAGAAGUCAUAUGCUGAUCUUAAACGAAAAGAGAUUGAAUUCCAGGUGGGUGAUAAGGUAUUCUUAAAAGUGUCUCCUUGGAAGAAAGUUCUCCGAUUCGAUCGAAAGGGCAAAUUGAGUCCAAGAUUUAUCGCGCCAUAUGAAAUCAUAGAAAGAAUUGGACCGGUUGCUUAUCGAUUGGCAUUACCACCGGAACUCGAUAGAAUACAUAAUAUUUUUCAUGUGUCUAUGCUACGACGAUAUCGAUCAGAUCCUUCCCAUGUUAUUUGUCCAACAGAACUGGAGAUUCAGCUAGAUAUGACUUACAGUGAAGAACCAAUCAAGAUAUUGGCACGAGAAACAACAGAGCUUAGAAAUAAAAAGAUAAAUUUGGUGAAAGUAUUAUGGCAAAAGCACGGGGUUGAGGAAGCGACAUGGGAACCGGAGGAGGAAAUGAGGAAACAAUACCCGAACCUCUUUACUGGUAAGAUUUUCGAGGAUGAAAAAUCUUUAAGGGGGGAGAGUAGUAAUGGCCCAAAUUCAAGGUUAUCGGAAUAGUGAUUUCGUAACCACAAAUCCGAUUUAAAGAGAAAUUUAUUUUAAUAUUUUUGCAUGGAUAUUGGAAUGAUAGGAAAUAGUAUAAAAAUAUCGAUAGAAAAAUUUUACCGAUUUAGUGAUUAGUUAGAAAAAGAAAUUAGUGAAGAAAUUGGGUAAAAAUAAGGUAUCGAGACCUCAAUCUCGUAAAACUGAGUCAAAAAUAUUUUUAUAAAUAUUUAUAAAGUGUUAAUAAUAUGGUAUUAAAAUUUUGUUCGAAAAUUUUGAUGUUUGGGUAGUCAAUUAAGUGAAAAGGACUAAUUUGAAAAAGAUAUAAAAGUUACUAAAAGGAUUAAAUAGCUCAAUUGUUAAAUGAGGAGGGACAUAAAUUGAAAAUAACCCCAAAAGGAGAUAUUUUGGGCGGCAUACGCUGAGAAAAAUCAGGAGAAUUGAAGAAUUAAGGGUAAAAUUGGAAUAUUGCAAAAUUUGCUUUAAAAGAUAGGACUAAAGUGGAAUUAUCUAGAUUUCUCUUCAUUUUUCUGCAUUCCCAUCAGCCAAAAACGUCCUAAGGGUUUCUCCAAGCUGGUUUUUCAUAAUUUUUGCAGCAAGUGAGUUAAUCUUUACCUUUUUCUUGUAAUUUUUGUGUUUCUAAGACUUUUACAACUAGGUCCUAUUACUAAAUUCAUUAGUUUUUGAUUUUGUGGAUGAAGUUGAAAGUUGCUAUGAAUAUGUGCUGGAAUUUUAUGAUGAUAUAGGAUGAAAUUGAAGCUUUAAUAUAUUUAUGAGAUGAUUUUAUUAGGUACUUUCAAUAGAAAUUGAUUUGUAGGACCUAAUUGUGAAAAAGUUUGGAAUUAAAGUCUAGUACUGAAAUUCUGAUUUCCAAAGCUUAUGAAGUAGUUUAAAGUGAUGGGAUAAAGUUUUAAUUGAGAAAACUCAGCUCAAUUGAUAGGUUAAUUGAGCAGGGAUGAAAUUAGCAUUUAUUGAAAGUUUAGGGAAAAAUGGUAAUUAACAUUAUACACUAAAACAGAUUUGGACAGCAGCAGUAGGUUAACUUUGAAAAAUCACCAAAAAUUGUAGAAAUCGAAUUAGAGGAUAAAUAAAAUAUGAAAUUAAAUCUUAUUGAGUCUAAUUUCUCAUAGAAGAAACGGUUUAAUCAAUGGAAUUGUAAAUCACGAGAUAUAAUGGAUUUUGUGAGACAAGGUCAGAAGGAAUUCGGGUUCCCCUGUUCUGACUUUGUAAAAUCAUUAAAAAUGGUAUAAAAAUGAUUAUGAGUUGUAAUUUAUAUGGCUAGAAUCCUUAAUGAGUCUAUUUUCAUAAGAAAUAAACAGGAACAUCAUCCAAAUUCUGUAGAAUGAGAUAAUUAAUUUUUAGUGAAGAGGGGUCGGAACUAUCAAACAAUGAAACAAGGGAAACUUUAAAGAAUAAACUGUACUUGUUGGAUAAACUAAAAAUUCUGAAAAUUUUAUGGUAAGAAUAUAUGUGAGUCUAGUUUUAGGUAAAAUUAACGGAUCUUAAUUUGGAGUUCCGUAGCUCAAGAUAUAAAUAUUUUAGUGACUGUGACUCAGUGAGACAGCUUUGAAUGCAUUAUAAAAUGGAAUUAUAGAGAAUGUUACAUAUGAACAUGAAAUGUAUUAGAUUAUGAUUAAAUUUAUUUAUUUAGAUCCAGAAAUUUCAAAUACGAAGCUAGAUCAAGGUAAAGAAAAAGUUCGGGAUUAGUAGAUUUUUGUUUACAAACAAGUGUCGAGGUAAGUUCUUGUAACUUGAAUUAUAUUCAUAAAUGCUUGAAAUGUUUGUUAUUGAUGUGAAUAUGAUUUGGAUGUUUAUUGUAUUAUAAUUGAUGAAGUAUUGAUAUUCUUGAUGAAAAGAGGAAAUAAAUCCCGGUUGAAUGGAAGGAAAAUUCGAUGGAUCUCUGAAAAUAAAUUGACGGUAAAAAGGAUCUAGCCCGGACGGGUGAUCCUCUCCUGAUAUAGCCCUCCCGAAGAAUAUGUGGAAAAUGGAUUUAGCCCGGACGGGUAAUCCGAAUUAGGGUCUGAAUUUAGCCUGGACUGGUAAUUCAGAUCCAAGCUCAUUAGAGUAAUUGUUGUUGCAGGGGAUUUAGCCUGGACUGGUAAUCCCGACAAUACUCUAUGAGUUUAUAUUACAGGAGAUUUAGCCUGGACUGGUAAUCCCGCUGUAAGGAUGAGGUUCGCGGGAGUGUGCUCUCUGAAAUGGAAAUGUGCGCACAUGAAUAUGAAUUGACGGACCCGGAUUUGUACACUAAAGUGUACCUCUGAAAAUCCAUCGAAAUUUCAAGUAGUUCAACGGGAUAAAUAUGGAAAAUAACAAGGGAAUGGAAAUCAUGUAAUUGAUGAGCUCAUCAAUCAUGGUAUAAAUUAUUGAUACAUGGAAAUUAUUGGUCUAAUUUGAAUGUUGAGUUUGUGCAUGAUAGGGGAAUAAUGUAUUGAAUGAAUGUAUGAAUGUUUAUUGUAUUGUAUUGAAAAUAUUAGGUAAGUAUAAUUCUUGUUACAUGAGCUUACUAAGCACAAAGUGCUUACCCUGUUUCCUUUUCCCCUGUUUUGUAGUGUUAAGAGCUCGGAGGUCGGAUUUGGUUGGAGACGCAUCAAACUAUCAACCUCAAGAUCUCGGUAUAUAAAGAAACUUUAUUUUGGAAAUCAAUGACAUGUAUAAGCUAGUAAAGUAGAUGUUAAUGUGAAAUGAAUGUAUAGUUAGCCAUUAGUAUGGCUAACAAACUUUGGUUUUGGAUAUGUGAUGAUAUUAUCUUAUGAAUAUUAUAAAUCUAUCUUGAAAAUAUAUAUUGAAAUGGAUUAGUUGUGUCGAAUUAGUCUCGGUUUAAAAUUUACAGGUAAGAUUUGAUAUUUAUAAAGGAGUUAUAUGAAAAAAAAAUUUCAGUAAAAUUUGGUAAUGCCUCGUAUCCUAUUCCGGCGACGGAAACGGGUAGAUGGUAUUACAAAAAAAUACACCGGUGUCGCCAAUGGCAAUGGCAACACAAAAAAAAAUUCUAUUUUUCUUAAACAUUAUUUUUUUCUAAUGGCUAUUGCCAAGGAGAACGACAUCACAAAAAAAAAAACUUUUGUACUAGUACCGCCAAUGAUAACGACGACACCCAUUAAAUUAAUUUUUUCCUUUUUUUCAUUUUCUCCUAGAAUACCAGUAUUUUUAUGGGGUGGACGAUUAUACAUACUGGUGUCGCUAAUGGCACGACGACACUCAAAAAUUAAUUUGGUAAAAAUUAAGGAUUACAUAUGAUUAAUGGUACUAUUUUGUUAUCAAGCAUCAUGAGGGUGUUGAUAUAUUACUUACGUGGAACAUUACAAUCGAAUUCAAAUUUUGUUUUGUAGACUAAAAAUUAUCUUUUCAAUAAAUUUUCAUUUAAUUUAAAAUUUUAUUAAAAUAAUAUGUUUUUACUUUUGGGGUGGCCAAUCACACCUAAAUAAAAAAUAUCGGUACCAACUCUAUAUAUUUAAUAUUAAAUUAAAUUUUACUGUUUAAAUAAAUAGAUGUGAACAAAACUCGAUUUGAUUCGAAAAAAAUCAAUUUUUUUUAAAAUUUUAGUUAAUCAAAUUGAGUUAUUUGAAUUAUUCGAGUCAAAUCAAAUAAAUAAUUUGAGUUUCGAGUUCGGAUUGAGUUGAAUUUUACAAUUCGAAUAACUCUAAUAAUUUGAAUAACAGAUUGAUGUAUAUACCCUUUUGGUCCCUGUCAAGUUUGAAAAUAAGCAAAUUGGUCUCUCUCAACACAAAUUACAAAAAAUUCAAAAUAAUUUUCAAAAAUUCAAAAUAACUUUCAAAUAUUCCAAAAUAAUUUUUAAAACUCAAAAUAUUUAUAAAAUUCUAAAAUUUAUAUUUUUCAAAAAAUUAUAAAAAUUUCAAAAAAUUUCUAAAAAAUUUAUAAAGAAAGUUAAUAAUUUAAAAUAAUAAUUUAAAAUUUAAAAUAAUGUAUAUAACUAAAACAAUUAACUUAUUGUUCAAUUAUGCAUUAAGACACAAUACUUGUAUGGCGUAAAUAAUUACAAUUAGAUAGUCAUAAUUAUUGAAUUAAUUUGUGCAUAGUACCAAUAAAAGCUCAUUUCUAAAUUUUUUUUACGGAAAUGAGCAGCUUCUAAAAAUAAUUACGAGUAUGGACUGAAAAUCUAAAAAAGCACUGAUAUGGGUGCGUUUUGAGGAAUAACUCAAAAAAAUGCUUCCACAUUAGUGCUUUUUUCCUUGUAUCAGGCAAAAGCACGUUGAUGUAGACGCGCUUUUGCCCGUGCUCGGACUAAAUUUUUUUAAAAAAUGUCAUUUUUUUAAAAUAUUUAAAAAAUAGACUAAUUUUUUUAAAAAAAAUUAAUAUAAUAAGCCUUUAUAAAAACAUAAAGCGGUAGCACCAUUUCUUUUUUUUUCUUGUGCCACAAAUUAAUAUGGAAAUAAAACUUACAAAACAGAUAUUUAUAUAAACCCAAAAUCUCAUUUUUCACAUUGUAAAAUAUAAUUAGUUAUAUAAAGAUCUAUUCUGUAAAUUUAUUUUUAUAUUAAUUGGUGGCACAAAAAAGAAAAAAAAGAAUGGUGCUGCCACUUUGGAUCUUUAUAAAGGCUUAUUCUCGUAUUUUUUUAAAAAAAUUGAUCUAUUUUUAUAAUAUUUUUAAAAAAUAAUAUUUUUUGAAAAUUUAGUCUGAACACGAAUAAAAAUGUGUCCACGACACAAAAAAAAAUUUAGUCUGAACACGAACAAAAUUGAUCUAUUCCUUAUAUAUUUAUAUAUUUGAUACAAAUAUAAUCCUAAUAACUACCCAAAUGCUGUAAAUUACUAAACUGUAAAUGUAUAAAAAUAUGAAAUAUUUUAAACAUGUGUAUCAUAGAAUUCAAUUAAGAUAUUGUAUGAAAGUAUGAUUUCUUCUAUUCUCUUGUAAGAAUUGAAGGCUUUUUGAUUGGGUGAGUUCAAAGAAGUAUUGUUUAGUCUGCCUUAUUUUCCUUUCUUCAUUUUUUUCCUUAUAUCAAAAAACAUAUUAAUAACUCAAUCAAAAUUAUCUCCAAGAACAAAAUUUUGUUAUGCUUAAUAUCUUUAAUUUGAUCUGUAUCUGUUUUAAUUCUGCCCUUUUUUCGAGUAGUUUCUAGAUUAUGGCAUAUUUGGUGAAAAUUAAUUAUAUUUAUAAAAAAAAAUUGACUCUCAAAUUUAUACGAAAAAGAAGUUAAGAAAUGAAAUGGCUAAAGUACCAUCCAUUAUCCAAGCAAAGCAAAUAACGGACAAUUUAUCAAAAAAAGCCUUUUUUUAUAUUUACCGAAAUAGGCCCGAUAUUUUAUUAUUUACCAGAAUGUGCCUUUUCCGGCAAAUUGCGUCCACGUCAGCGCGAUGUUAGGGGACGUACCAGGAAAUCGCGGCCACGUCAGCGUGCUUUGCUGAUGUGGCAACAAAUAGCGUCCACGAGGGGGCGAUUUGUUGCCACGUUAGCAAAGCGCGCUGACGUAGCCGCGAUUUCCCCUAAUAUCCCCACCUCUUUUUUUUUUCACAAACUAAUCAUCGCUCAAAUUUCCUCUCAAUUUCCUCUAAAUUUUCUCUCAAUUUUGGUGUUGAGAGGAAGCAUUGCAAAUAAUUAAAUAAGAUAUUUCAAAAGAAGGUGGAAAGGAAGACUAAAACAUUUUGGCGAUAAAGUUAAAAAAAUAAAUUGAGAGAAAUUUAAAAAAAAAUUAGAGUCAAAAUUUUGAAGGGUCAAAAAGUUCUUUCACAAUUAUUCAUAGUGAUUUAAAAAUAAGAAUUACAAAAUUAACAAUUAAUAAAAAUAAUGAAAUAAAUUUUAAUUAUAAUGACAUUAAUGAUUAAAAACGGAUAAUAUUAAUUAUAAAUUUUAAUUAUAAUGGAGCUUUGCCACGUUUACGGAAAAAAUAAGAUAUUAAUUAGUGAAGAUGAGUACAUGUGAACAAUGACAUUAAAUGUAUGUCCUGUGGGUGUGCAGGAAAGAUGAAUGGUAGUGUCGGCAUUGUUUAUUGAUUGGUAGCUGAUAAGAAAAUAAUAGUGAAGAUGAGUACAUGUGAACAAUGACAUUAAAUGUAUGUCCUGUGGGUGUGCAGGAAAGAUGAAUGGUAGUGUCGGCAUUGUUUAUUGAUUGGUAGCUGAUAAGAAAAUAAUAGUGAAGAUGAGUACAUGUGAACAAUGACAUUAAAUGUAUGUCCUGUGGGUGUGCAGGAAAGAUGAAUGGUAGUGUCGGCAUUGUUUAUUGAUUGGUAGCUGAUAAGAAAAUAAUAGUGAAGAUGAGUACAUGUGAACAAUGACAUUAAAUGUAUGUCCUGUGGGUGUGCAGGAAAGAUGAAUGGUAGUGUCGGCAUUGUUUAUUCAUUGGUAGCUGAAAAGAAAAUAAUAGUGAAGAUGAGUACAUGUGAACAAUGACAUUAAAUGUAUGUCCUGUGGGUGUGCAGGAAAGAUGAAUGGUAGUGUCGGCAUUGUUUAUUCAUUGGUAGCUGAAAAGAAAAUAUAGUUGAGCUGCGGCUUCUGUUUUCAAUGCUUAUGCUCCAACAAUAGACUCAUUUAAUUUCAUAAUUCCAAAAACUGUGACCUGUUUUUCCCUUUCCUUGUGUUUUCCAUCUCAUUUGCAACUAUUCAUUGACUUCAACUCCCUUGACAAUCCAUCUCCAUUCCUUUCCCUCAAUCUCCCCUUCCUUCUUCAUCUCUCUCUUUGAUUUCUUUGUCCCAAUUCCACCAUGUCUGUCUUUGGAGAGGCUGCUGUUUCUGCCUUUUUGGAGCUGUUGUCUGCCAAGUUGCUUGACUCUGCACUCAGCUUUGUGGCCGAUUACCAGCAAGUCCGCGAGCAACUCAUGCUGUGGCAAUCCUUAUUAGCCGAUAUCAAAGCAGUGUUGAACCAUGCAGAGGAGGAGCAGAUCCACGACGAGGGUGUGAAGAAUUGGUUGGACGAUCUCCAAGACUUGGCUUACGAUGUGGAUGACAUCUUGGACGAGGCCGCUUACCAAAAGUUACGUCUCAAGCUCCAAAAAACUCAAGCACAAGCCAGCUCUAGUCAGGGAGGGAAACUCAUUAUAGCCUUAGAAUCUGGUUUUCGUUUCUGUCAAUUCUCUUUUAUGUUCAAUUCAAAGAUACAAGCAAUCACUGAUAGACUGAAUAGUUUGAAGACUCGAAGAAGUAGUUUGGGGUUGAGUGAGAUCAUGUCUCAAGGCGCAACUUCCAUGGGAAACCAACCCAGGCUGCAACCAACUUCGUUGAUGGAUGGAGCUGUGGAGUAUGUUGGUAGAGCCAAUGAGAAGCAAGAAAUGCUUGAGUUGCUCAAAAGUAACAAUUCCGAUGGAGUUCGUGUCCUUUCCAUCGUUGGCAUGGGAGGGAUGGGGAAAACAACUCUUGCUCAGCUUGUUUACAAUGAUCCCAGCAUUAAGGAGUCUUUCGAUCACAAGUCCUGGGUAUGCGUUUCUACUGACUUUGAUGCUGUUAACAUAACAAAGACGAUUUUAAGAUCCCUCGAUGCUGACUCACAUGAUGAGAAUGACUUGAACUCGCUUCAAGUCAAGUUGAAGUACAAGUUAUCCUUAAAAAGGAUGUUGCUUGUUUUAGAUGACAUUUGGAACGAGAGUUACAGUGAUUGGACCAUCUUACGGACUCCAUUUGGAGCAGGAACCAAGAUUAUUGUAACAACUCGACUCCAAACGGUUUCAUCUAAUGUCGAUUCGGUGAAAGCGUUUUACUUGGAUAAACUCUCGCAUCAUGAUUGUUUAUCCAUAUUUGCUCAGCAUGCAUUGAAAGCAAGAAACUUUGAUGGGCAUCCCCAAUUUAAAGAAAUUGGAGAGAACAUAGUGAGAAGGUGCAACGGCUUACCUUUGGCAGCAAAAGCCAUUGGAAGCUUAUUACGCACAGUUACGGAUCACAGUGAAUGGGAAAAGGUAUAUCGGAGUGAGAUAUGGGACCUACCAGAAGAUCGAUGUGACUUAAUUCCAGCUUUGCGAUUAAGCUACCAUUAUCUUCCUCCUCAUUUGAAACGAUGCUUUGCAUACUGCUCCAUAUUUCCUAAAGAUUAUGAAUUUGAAGAAGAAGAGAUAAUCUUGUUAUGGAGAGCAGAAGGUUUCUUGCAAUCAAAAGAUAAAAAUCAAGGCAAAGGUCUUGGAAACCAAUAUUUUCAAGGUCUAGUGUCAAGGUCAUUUUUUCAAAGAUCUAGUGAAGACAAAUCCCGUUUCGUGAUGCAUGAUCUUAUGAAUGAUUUAGCUCAAUCAGUUGCAGGAGAAAUAUGUU
rnacentral:lncRNA from 1 species